rnacentral:lncRNA from 1 species
CGGGCUUGUGAUCCAAGUGGAGACUACAGGGUGAUGGAACGUUCGAUCGAUCCACUGGGCCGGGUUCGGGCGGGCUUUAAUCUGGCCUGCCCAUUCCAAGUUGGGAGUUGAGGCAUGGGAUUUGAGCGAAGGCUUGGAUCAUAUGCCUCUUAGAGUGGGGGAGAUUGCGUAAGGCUGGUUUCACAGAGCAGCGUCAACCUCCCGCUCUCGACGGUGGAAGGAUAACGGGCCGUUGCCUUUCGAGCCCACUAUGACCCAGUAGGCUGAUCUAAUUGAACCAUCACUUUUUGAUUUUUAAUUUGGUUGGAAUUGUUUUUUAGUAAUAAAUGCAAAAAAAAUGGCAUUAAACUUAUUUCUUUGAAUGAUUUAUCACAUAUAAAUACUAAUUGUGCCACCUCAUUGACGACUUCUUUCAAUUAUAUGGGAAUAAUUGGUUCGUUGUGGAAGUGUCAUUUAUUCUGGUAGUUUUAAAAAUAUAUCACAAUUUGCAUGAUAAACAAGGAUUUGGGUCGGUUCAAUAUAAAACAUUCGGGUCGGAUCUGGAUCUUUUCAAGCUCAGUAUUUAUUGGUUGAACACUGAUGUGUCGCCUAACGCUCUCCUAGCUGGCCAGAAAGAGACGCGGCUGGUGCAAAGUCUUAACACUUGGCAACAUCUUAUUGGUUAAAAGAGCCCCCCGUGUGGCACGUGUGGAGUUUUAUUUCAUAUUUCUCUUCCUUCACCGUAAGCUUCACCCACUGGAUCUUCCCAAUGGUUUCUCUGCAGGCAUAUCAAUAUUGGUUGCGAGUUUAAGAGAGAUAAAAGUGUUUUAGAAUGGCGAUGCCUUUGGAAAUGGCGAUGCAUCUGACCAAAACGGUGUGGUUUGCUCUCAGCGGCUGGAUUUUCACAUGUUUAACUAUCGCCGACGAAAUCGCCGGUUCUCUCCGAAACCGAGAAAUUGGCCCUUUCCAUGUUGGAUGAUCGAUUAAAAGAUUCUACAUUCCUUUAGUGUGUUUUCACCAUCUCCUAUCCUUGAUUUAAGAGAACUGUUUCUUUUUUCAAUUUUUUUUCCCUGAUGAGAAUCGUCUCUAAAUCACUCCAAUCCCUUAAACUGAAGAGCUUGGAUUUAUAUAUACAUAUAUAGAGGUCGUUUGGUCGAUGUAAAGAGGAAUUGAUUUUAUAUAAUACGUUUCAAUUUGUGUGAGUUUCUGUUGAUUUGAGAAAAUAAUGUUGUGUUUCUGGUAUAUUGUUACGGGAGUUCUUGAUAUUGAUGCUUCUUUCUUGUUACUUCAAACUUCAAAGUGUGAUAUCAAGAACUCCCUUUUGGUUACAUUGCCUGAUAUUAAGCUUUGUAGAGAAUUAUUCAGAUGUCUAUAGAAUUACAAAACAAAAUGUAGUUGCAGUUGUAAUGAGUAAGGAUUUAUGUCAGAAAUACAUUCUAAUGUAUAUCUUAAGCAAAUAGAGCAACCAAGAUCACAUUUUUUUGUAUAACUCAAAUGUUCUAACCGAAAACUUGAAAUAUUAUUCUAAACAAAUUUAGCGCGUUAGGGAUCUUUUUCUUUACGGAUAAGUUAUUAAGCUUUACUUCUUUUUAUAGAAAAACAAAUUAAGUUUCUUCUUUUGCCCAUCUUGCUUUCUCUUUUAUUUUAAUUGUUAUUUUAUUUUAAAUUUAAUAAUACUUUUGCUUCAUCAUUAGAAAAGGCAAAGGCAAAGGCAAAAGUACCAAAGGAAUCGUCAAUGAGUGUGCCUUGUGCAAUUCAGUUUCGUUUUUAUUCUCAUAUAACAUAGAAUAUCAGUGCAGAGCUCAAUUUCUCUACAGCUCAUUAUCUUUUUGGAUUGGAGACUAAGGCAUGUUAAAUUAAUUUUUCCAUAAUCGGUGUUAACGUUUUCAACUUUUAAUAUUUUUGUUUGCUAAAUUUCUGUUAAGUUUAAUCCAUAAUUAGAAGUAACUAGCAGAGUAUCACUCCUGUCUAGAACUAUUAAGUUAAAUAAACAGGUUUAUGAGUGAAAAUUCUUUUAAGUUUUAUAUAAAGUUUGUGUAGGUUAUACCGUGUUGUCCACAUUUCUCCAAAAAAUAUUUUAGUGGAAGUAUUUGGCUAAGUUCAAAUUUAGAAGUUAUAUGCAGUUUUUAAGGAUCUUGACAUUUUAUUUACUUAUUGCAACACAGUUUACUUUGUUUUGAUUUAUGAUUAAGCUCUAAAUAUAGGGUCAAAUUAAAUAAAGACUUUCCUUAAUUAUCCAAUAAAAUCAAAUUUUGAUAUCGUAAAAUCAACAUUACCAUCGUCUUCUUUAGUGUUUCACCAUCUUCCACCUCCAACUUACCUAGACAGCUCCUUUCCACCUGUUUUCUUUCUCUCUCUUCUCCUUUAUAUUCUCCGACAAAGGAACAGCACAAGAAACCCAGAAAGAAAGAAAGAAAGAUUGUUCGAAACUUUAAAACAACGACGCCAUUUGUUCUUCUUUCCCCUGCUGAUUCGAAAUUAUGGGUUCCUCUGCUUCGAAAACAGUUUCUUCUUCUUCUUCUUCUUCUUCUUCUUCUUCUUCUUCUUCGUCUUUCUCGGCGUCAUAUUCACCUCCGGAAACAGUUUCUUCUUCCCGAUUCCCGUCGUCAUCUACGACGGUCCCCAGAGCUUUCUCAUUUCCGAUGCCGUCGAUUCAUCAUCCACCGGUUAAAAAAGGCGACACGCACCACCUUGUCUCCCUCACAUCCACCACUUACGGUUCUCUUCUACUCGUCGAUCUCGAUGGACAAGCAUUGCCCCAUAUCUCCGUUUCCGGGGAGAAUCAUAAGACGACGCCUGAACCGGAGGAGUCACGCGACUCGUUGUCUCCUGACUCAGUCAUUAACACAUGGGAGCUCAUGAACGAUCUCGACGACGAACUCGGUUUUGAGAAUUCCGUUACCGGUAAGCGUAAUUCCGCCGUAAAGUUGGAGUCUUUCUCUAAACCCAUCGCGAAACGAGACGAGGGUGUGAACGGGUCUCCGUUGAAACUGGACGAAUCUUACGAGAUCGUGAGAAUCGAAGAAGAUGAGGAAGACUGGAUUCCAUUGCCUUCUAAACCCAAGCAACCUCUGUGGAAACAUUUGUCUGAAGAGUCUUUUCUCUCUGAUUUAGAUCCUAAUAUCAUCUCGUCUUACAAGAAAGCAUUGUCUUCCAAACAACUUGGCAAAAACUCUAAAUCAGUCUCUUGCAGCCAGUCAAAUCAAUCGACUUUAAUCAGUUUACCAGAAUCUGUAUCCUCGAGUUCACUAAGUGCUCAGACAUUGGAAGAGCAAGAGAAACCAAGAUUGCCAGAAACAGAAGACAACAAGAACAAGAUAGUAUUGUACUUCACUAGCCUGAGAGGAAUUCGAAAGACUUAUGAGGAUUGCUGUUGCGUAAGAACGAUAUUGAGAGGGUUUCAGGUUGCGGUAGAGGAACGCGACAUCUCAAUGGACUCCAGAUACAGAAAAGAGCUUCAGAAUGCACUUGGCGAAGAGAAGCCGGUUUGUUUGCCAAAUGUGUUUAUAAGAGGCACACACAUUGGUGGUAUGGAGGAGAUCAAGAAACUCAACGAUGGAGGUGAAUUGAGAGAGAUGUUGAAAGGGUUUCCUGUUUGUGAAUCCGUAGGAGCUUGCGAAAGCUGCGGGGAUGCAAGGUUUGUGCUGUGUACUAAUUGUGGUGGUAGUACUAAAGUGUUUGAGGAACAAGAAGAUGUGUUUAAGAGAUGCAAUGGAUGCAAUGAGAAUGGAUUGGUACGUUGUAACAAGUGUUGUGUCUAGUGAUUAGAUUUGUUUCAUAGAUGUUCUUGUGAAAGGGAGGAAGAAAAAUUAGAGAUAUACUGUGUUUUAAAGAUGUGUGUUUGAUCCGUUGUGUUCCAUUGAUGUUCUUGUGAAGCGAGGAAGAGAAAUUAGAGAUAUACCUUGUUUUAAAGAUAUGUUUGAUCGAAUAUGUUUGAACAUUGGUCUAAAGCACAGUAGGAGUCCAAUGUUCUUCUUAAUUAUACAAUGAAAUACAGAGGCUGACGUAUUUGAAGAAGUAAAAUUCGUUAUAUUGCCUUUCAACAGAUAAGCUUUUCCUUUGGGAAAAGCCUGACCUUACUUUAUCUGACGGGCUUUUACAGAAUCUUGGCGCAGCUAGAAGACGAUGUAGUCCCUUGUGAAUCACAAAUGGAGAAUUGUAAAACAAAUUUGGAAGUAAUGGCAGAAGAUGAUGUAGUCUCAUUGUUUUAACCCCUUUACUUAAGCAAUAGUAAAGUCAGAAGAUAAAAAUUUGGUACUGAAGUAACGCAGUCGCAAAUUCCUAUUGAUCAGCAAAUUCUAUUCCAUGAUUAUUAUCAGUUUACUAAUGACGUAGGUUGUAAAGAAACAACUAGAUCUUUAUAGUUUUUAAUCCUUUUAUAUCAUAUUUUUUCCCUUUCUUCAGAUCCCGAUCUCUUCUUGGCGUGCCUUUGGUUUCACCAUCAAACCAUGGCAGAGUUCACCAGAUAGUAAGUAUCACUAGAAGCAGAAGCAAAACCUAAGGUGGCAAAGUUGAUAGUCUCAUUUCUACCAAAAAAAAGAAACACAAGUUAGUGUCAAAUAUGAAUUUAUGAGCUUCUAACUUAAAAUUAACUGGCAAUAAAUGGAUUGGCAUUUACCCGUUAUAUAUUAUUUUACAAAUUCUCCAACUAUCGAUAUAGAAGUUUUACAAUAAUUAGAUUUCAAUUUUGUAACAAGCAAUAAAAUUAUAUAUCAUAGUGGCUUACUAUCGUAAAGGCAAAACAAAAGUUUUUCCACCCUCAACUUUUUCAUAAACUACGCCAGCUCUCAGUCCCCAUGAUUUUCCAGUUUUGUCAAGCAGCUGACUUAACUUGUUCAUCUCCGAAGCUAUCAAAAUCUCGGUCUACACCCAGUCUGGUAAUCUCUUAGAAUCAUACAUAUUGGACCUUAUAUCAAUUGUACCUGUCAGUUGUUGCAUUGUUUUACAUUUGUCAACUUUAAAAGCUUCAAAUUGUUUUCAGAUAGAUAUGCAAAAUUAUAAACGUUUAUAAGUAGUAGAUUAACGAUUUUUUUAGCGUGCACCAUUUGGUCUUUAUAGUGUUUUCAACUACGUUAGAUUUAAAAUUUUAAAUUAAAAAUAUAUUUGAAAAAAUUAAACUCAUUUGGAAUUAUUGAAAAUUUUAUAUUAUCAAGUCACCAUAAUAGUAUUUUGAAUCUUAAUUAGAACGUUUUAACAUUUAAGAGCUUCAAAUUGUUUUCAGAUAGAUAUGCAAAUAAAAAAAUAUAUAUAUUUGGCAUUUUGGUCUUAUGCUAAUCAUCUUGAAUUUCGGACUAUCAUGUUUGAGUUUCCCAAAAACCAGUGCCACUAAAUAAACAGCUAAAUCGCUCACCUGCUUGGCCAUUGGCUACCAUUAAAGUCUGUUACCAUUACUUUAGUAUAGAUCUGUGACAAGAAUGUUGAAAUGUAGUACAUAAGGCCUAAGACAUUGUUGAAGAACUCUUCAAAGAUGUUGUUUUGUUUGAAAGACACCUUUUUUAUUUGUUGUAAUCACUGUAUUGUCAAGAAAUUUCUCUAAUUUGAAUUUCAGAUAGCGGUAUUGUUCUGCCAAAGUGGUAUAGUUAAAGUCAAUGCGGUGCGUGGCAUUGCAGCACACAUACUUAGCCGAGAAAGUAUAACCGGACUGAUUUUGGUCCUGCAAAGUCAUAUAACAAAUCAAGCUUGGAACUCCUUUGAACUCUUCUCGUUCAAGGUCGAGUUAUUUCAGGUAUAUAUAUAUAUAUAUAUAUAUAUAUAUGUAUAUAUAUAUAUAUAUCUUUAUCUUUAUCUUGAUUACCUUGGUAGAGUAUGAGUUGUUUCGACUUAAUUCUCAGUAGGUUGAUAACAUCUUUGUUGCUGCCUUGUUGUAUUGUUAGAUAACCGAUUUGCUGGUUAACAUAACCAAACAUGUCUUAAGGCCAAAACAUCAGGUUUUAAAUGAUAAAGAGAAGAAAUCACUUCUCAAGAAGUUCAGUAUUGAGGAGAAACAAGUAAGCAAGUUUUUUGUACUUGGAUCAUUGCUAGGAACUCUGAGCCAGCUUUCUCUAAGCUAAUUUUUUUUUAUAAUAUAUAUGUAUUUAUGUUUCCCUUUUGGUUAGCUUCCUCGGUUAUCGAAGCAAGACCCGACUGUGCGAUACUACGGGCUAGAGGAAGGGCAAGUCGUGAAGGUCACAUACAAAGACGACCUCACUGAGUCGAAUGUUACGUACCGAUGCGUCUGGUAAUUAAGAUCGUUCUGUUUAUUUAGCUUUCUUGUGUGUAGGAAUCAGUAUAUCAUGUAUUGAUGUCAAAACCUGUUAAGUUUUUGUUUCUUUUGUGGUCUUUAAACCAAACAACUUUAAUAAUUAUAAGUUUGUGUUUCAUACUUUCAUAUAGAACAUAGAUAUACAAAAUUAUGCAUGAGCCUUAUAAAGAAGGCUUGGUCAACUAUGGACGAUGGUCGAAUCUGGCUGAAUCUUGUUUGACCCAUGUGUUGACUUUCUCGGCUUCACGGCUAAGUCUUUGCUCCUCCAAUCUCGCUGCCUUAAGCUGAUGCUCUUGCUCCUUCACGGAAAACGUUCUUGUGUCCGAUAGAAAUUUGUCGUCGCCGGUUGGCCAGCUCUGGUCACCGGUGUUGCCCGUAGUACUUUCCGUGGUAUCUGGAUCACGAGAGCAGCACAAGUUUGAGCCCAUGUGGAUCAAACUAUAUCUUUGAUAGAAAGAAUUAAUCGGAUAUGAAGGAAAAAUAAAUUUUUUAUUGAAGAUUGAAAUUCAAGAACAAAUACGAGAGAGGGAUUGGUUUAGUGUUGGACCAGAAUGUGUUAUUUGCUGAAUAUUAGUGGUUUGAAAGAAAGGAAAAAAUGCUUCAUUUUCAUAUAAAUGUUUAUUGGAGUAUGACAUCAAUAAUAAAACAAAACAAUUUUUUAUUGCUAACUAUUAUUGUCAUUGACUAUUCUUUUGAGACUUGAAAAUUAGAAGAAGAAAAAGUUACAAAUCAAUUACUUGCACUAUAUGGAACGAACUAACGGAGCAUCCCUAACAUGAUUGAACACUUUGAAUUGUUAUUCUUGGUAUGUUUUGUCCGUUCCAAUUCAUAUAACACAACCAUUCGAAGCCUACGAGUUAAGACCAAUUUUUUUUAAUGCUAAUUUGAUAACAUGCAAAAUUAACUUAGUUUAAUUUUCCUCUAUUUUUUUAUGCUAAUUGAGAACAUAGAGGAUAAGGUUGCUCAACCACAUGCGUAAAAUGUUAGAAGAAUCUUUAACCUAAAAAAGAAAAAAAUUAGAAGAAUUUUAUGAAUUUAUCGUACAGUAUAUGGAUAAAUUUUCUACAAACAUUUUUUUUUGUCGAAAUUUCUUUUAAUUUCCAGACUAGUCACGUGGGCGGCCAAAUAGCACUCCAUGUGUCGGCUCCUGGAACGCUACAGCCCAUAUGUGAAUUCCGCAGUAGCCGGGGCUCAAACUCGUGAUGGUGAGUACCUCAGCUGAGGGUCCUCUACAAACAUGAUAAAAUGCACUCGAAAUUUUUGUAAUUUUUUGGUUAGUGGGUGAAGUUGUAAGCGUGUAUAUUAUGAUGGUCAGUAUCUCUUGAUUUUUUCCAUCUUCAUUUUUCAAAUACUUUACUGUUAACACUGCUCCGACACGAAUAACCUCUCUUUCCCAAAAUUGGAAAAUCUAGGGUUUCGGCGAACUUGAACGUGAUCGCAUUCGCAUCACCCAAAUCACCCAAAGUUUCGAGCUGUUAACUGGUUUCAAUUGCUCUCUUCCUUGUUUGAUCCGAAACAGUGUGCGAAUUUUUCCCACAUUUGGAAGAGAAGAGAGACGAUGAGCGACGUCAAUGGUGAUCCCGCGGCAGUGAGCGAAGCCAAGGGAGGUUCUGACGCCGCACGGAUCGCGGAAGUGAAGGCGUGGCUCAUAUCCCAGUUUGAAGCCGCCGGCAGAGAAGUCCCCAAUUUCGACUACACUCAUCGAAGCAUCGCCCAUUUGUAUAAUCUCGCCACCGCUUCUCAAGCCAAGUCCCAGGCUGCAAGCAUUGUCGCCAACGAUUUUCGUCAAAAGGCUUCGGAAUAUCGUGCUCAAGGUAUUUGCUUCUACUCCCUAAUUCGAUUUGCUUGUCUGCUUCGAUUAUGACUCUUGUUGUAAUCAUCAUGAGUUUCUCAUCUGUAUUGCUGUUCUGGAUCACGCUAUAUAUACUGUUUGAGAAAAAAAAUGGGUUUUUUUUUCUUGGGGAUUAUGUUUCUCUGUUUACUGGCUGUGUGAUUUGUAAGAUCUCUGGGUGGAAAUUUGUUGAUGUAGCGGCUAGGAUUAGAGAGAUAUUGGAGAGUGCGGGAAUGGCUCAAGAGAGCUUACCUUCGAAUGUGGUCUCUUCAGCUCAAGUUCUUGCAAAUGUUGCAAAUUUGUUGAACAUCAGGGACACUGAACUGAGCAGGUGAGUUCACUGCUAGCCCUCUUAUUAGGCGUGGUGUUUCUAUCUCGAAAUGGGGAAACUUAUGCAGAAGAAAUGUGUCUAGUUUCCUUGUUGCAAUGGGAGACAUUUCUUUGAGGAAAACUGGAGUGGAGGAGAAAAGGGCGAAAGCACAGAAAGAGUCCAAUGUUCUUCUUGAUUAUACAAGGAAAGCGAUACAGAGGCUGACGUAUUUGAAGAAGUAAGAUUCUCGAUAUUGAAACAUGGAUAUUGCACUUUUGAAAAAAGAUAAGCUUUUCCUUUGGGAAGAGACUGAUCUUACUUUAUCUGCAUGGGCUUUUACAGAAUCCUUGCGCAGCUAGAAGACGAUGUAGUCCCUUGUGAAUCACAAAUGGAGAAUUGGAAAACAAAUUUGGAAGUAAUGGCAGCAAAGGAGGAACAGUACAUACAGCAGUACAAGAAGUAUGAGGUAGACGCCUUCUUCUCCUUUCAGUUUUUACAUACUCCUUUGGUAAUAGGUAAACUGAGGAUCAGAUACCUUUCUGCAAUUAGAUCUGUUGGGGGCUAUUUGAGAAUCAAAUACCUUUAUGUAAAAACUGGAACAAACUCUUAGCACGCCGAAACAGGACGGAUUAGUUUAGUAAUGGUCAAACUAUAUUCUUGCUAGUAAUUAAAGGAUAUAAGUUACUUUUGAAUUUGUUAACUGUUAUAUCAUAACAUACAUUCUGAUAAAGAUCCAGAUCGUAUAAGAACUACUUUGAUGAUGUUGGCUAGCAAAGUAUUAUAAUCGUACCUUUUCCCUUAUGUAUUUUCUGGGGAGCAGAUGUUGCUCAACCGUGUUGGCUACACUUCUAAGAUCAGCCACAGAGAGCUGGUGGAAAUGGCAGAACACAGGAAGGAAUUGGAGAAGAUGACAAAACCUGUCCUUGAUACUCUAAGAAGCUACCAGGACUUGCCUCCGGUAAUUUUCUUACUUCUUUUUCACUGAGUCUAAGAAAAUGAUGCAUCUCUCUGGUUCUUCCAAAUCUUGAUUAAACUCUCUCAUUGAUCUACAUUGUCAAUCUCCUCUUUGUCAUUAGUCGUUGCUAGACACUACUUGACAGUAAAUUUCUUGCUCAUUUCACUAAACAGGACAAAGCUCUGGCUGCACUAGCAAUCGAAGACAAGAAAAGGCAGUUUGCAGCCGCAGAAAAGUAUUUAGAAGAAGUAUUACAAUCUGCCCUUGAGACAAGCGACGAGUGAUCGAUAUACAAUCUCCACCUGAUUUUGGCGACUAAGUGAGAGCAAGUGGUCUACAAUUUAUUUUUAUUUUUUUCGUUCAAUGGUCCAUAAUGUAUUAAUAUUCACUUUUAGCUCAAAUAAUAGUUUGUCUAUCAUAUGAACAUAUUAUUCUGAUUAUUAGUAUUAAAUACUGCCAGAAUUUGUGGCGUAGUUUGAACUUGCUGCCAAGUACUGCUGUUCUGGGAGAUUUGGAAACCCUGUAUUCCAUAUAAUAUGAGUCUCCUUAACCAAAGCCAGAGAGGCAUAAACCUCAAAAGUCGAGCGAACAGACUUAAGGUCUUGUAAGACUAGUUCACGUUUUUGACAUUCUUCAGUUAAAACAGUCUCUAUACAAUAUUCGCACAAAACAAAAUAUAUAUCUAUGUAUGUAUGAAUUAAUUGUUUUGUUACAAAAACUCUUCAAAGAUACUAAAAGAUUAAGCAAAACAUAAAAACAUUUGAGAUGUUUCGCAACUUUAUAUUUUAUUAUUUUUAAAAAAUUUCUGUAAAUAUGGAUUAAUCAAACAUAGUUGGGGGACCAAAAAAGAAGAAAUAAUACUAUAGAGUUUAGGAAUAUCUCAAAAUUUAGGGGUAUUAUUUCAGAAGGAAGAAUAUUUUUCUGGGCUUGGGCCUGAAGUGUCUCUUUCUCGUGCUUACUUAAAGAAUUAAGAAACUCGGCGUUUGAACCAUAAUUGGAUCGGCUCAAUGGAUUCUAAAAUUGGAAAUUUCUUCGACUCCGUCGGUUCCUUCUUCACCGGCGGUGAUAAGAUCCCAUGGUGCGACCGAGAUGUCAUCACUGUAAGUUUUCUCUUUCUUUCCCCCUCUUUUUCGCCUUUCUCUUCUGGUGGUUUUGAUAAAAAAAACGAUCGUGUAAACGAACAAAUAUCACCAUAAAUUUUUCUGGGUUUUGUUGGUGAUAUUGUUAUAUUAAAAUUAGUUUAAUUUCUCGAUGAUUGAUUGUAAGUUUCUGAACUGAGCUCCAGGAAUCUUAUUAAAACUAGUUUAAUUUCUCGAUGAUUGGAUCAUAAGUCAAAUUUCGUAAUCAACAAUCGUAUCCGUCCACAUCUUUUCAAGUGAAAACGCAAUUGCUAUGAAAUUUGUUAAAACUUUGCAUAACUCGGAUUAUUAGUCAAAGCAUGAUCUCUGUGGUAUGUCUUAGGUAUGUCUUAGCUUAACGCCGUAACGGUUUAGCUCUUAUUGCUUAAUGUCUUUCUAAUGUUUUCCUUACACACCAAGUAACCUCUGAUGCUUGCUUUCAGGAGUGUGAGAGAGAAGUUAAGGCAGCCACUGAUCAUGACCCCGAAGAUCGGAAGAAAGAGAGCAUAAUGCGAUUAUCAUGGGCUCUUGUUCAUUCUCGACAAGCGGAAGAUAUACAGCGUGGAAUAGCCAUGCUUGAAGGUAUUAGUCUUUUCACUGAACUAUAAGUCCUUGAAACUCUGCUCUGUGCCUAACUAAUGGCCCAACUAUUACCGGAUUUUCUUCCACAAGGCUUAAAGUUUUUCCCUUUCAUGGUUGUGCGAACCAGAAUUUGACAAAAAAGCUCUUUGGUUGCAGCGUCUCUAGCAAGCAGUAGCCCUCCUUUGCAGGAUCGAGAGAAGCUUUAUCUUCUUGCUGUUGGAUAUUACCGUACUGGAGAAUACUCAAACAGCAGACAGCUCGUGGAACGUUGCAUCGAGGUUCAUACUUUUCUUCACGACCUGAUAAUAUUGGUUCAUGGUGUUAAAUCCUAUUCUACGUCUUACUCUUAUUAUGAUUGGUUUCCACAGAUUCAACCUGAUUGGAGGCAAGCUUUGGUCUUAAAGAAAACCAUUGAAGACAAAAUUGCAAAGGGUAAUUAAAAGCGAUUGUUGAAUAAUUUAUCACCAAUCUGAACAAUUGAUCUCUGUUGUGAAACUUUGUCUCUCCUGAUUGCAGAUGGUGUUAUUGGGAUAGGCAUCACGGCUACAGCCGUUGGACUCAUAGCCGGUGGAAUCGCUGCAGCUUUGGCUCGCAAGAAGUGACCAACCACAUUUACAGAUUCUGUAUGCAUAGAAUAAAUAACUAGAUGCUUGUUUUUCUUAUAAGUUUUUGUUCUUUCAGCCUUGAAUUCGGUUUUCAGUUAUUCCAUCAAAUAUUUCGUAAUUAUUACCUUAUUUUAUCUGCUCUGCUAAAAUAAUGAUUCUCCCACGCACAUGUACAUCCCAAAGCUGUGAUUUGAACCCUUUUUGGUGGUAAGAAUUAUGAUAUGGUCUUCUUUGGUGGUGAAAACAAAACAGGACAGAAUAUGUUGUUCCAGUACAUUGCAAUCUUUUCUACAUAUCUUAAAAUUAUUAUGCAUAUUUUGAUCUUCAUAUAGAUAAUAUUAAUGACUACAAAAUAAUUGUAAACUGUCAUAAUUGUGUUUAUGGUAUAUUAUUGAUAUCUUCAAAUUUGUAUUUACUGCAUAAGUACAAAAUACAAUAGAAAAAUCUCCCAGAAAGAGGUUAGAAAUUACUCUUUGAACCAUAUUUUAAAUUGUUUUAAUUAUAAAUAUACUUUUGACAUUUAUGGUUAUUACUUUUUCAAUUCUUAUAUGCAAAUUUAGUCCGGCAAAAAGAAACUGAUUUUUGGUGAAUAAAAAAAGUUGGGGUAAAAAUAAUAUAGCCAAAAAAAUGAUUUAUUUGCGAUGAAAGCGAAGUAUAGAACGAACACUGACCGAAGACACCAGAUCGGAUUUGAUUGGGCUCUACAUUGUAGAGAUGACGUUGACACUCCCAUAAAUAUUGGCUUUUCUACUUUUUAUUUUUCUCUCUCUUUUUUUUUCUCCUUCAAAAUUGUAUAAAUUUAUAUAUGUGUGUGUGUAUUAGUGUAUAUAUCUGUGUGUUGUUAUAUGAUCAAAGGUGUUUCGUCAUGUAAUGUCCCAAUCUCAUCGUGUUAAUCUUUACACGACAAUAGAUUUGAUGUUUCAAUUUUUAAGUUAGAGAUGAAAAACUGAUUGCUUCCAUUCUAAGUUUCCCAAUCAAUUCACAUACCAAUUAUUAAAGUUCCUAAAUCUCUCUUUUAUUUAUCAAAGGAUAUUAACAAAAUGUUUUUUCGACAAAAAUGUUGGAUAUCUCCUUGUAAUCUUCCCUAAUUGAACUUUCAAUAUUCACUUUUUGUUUGUCAAAUGGAUAAAAUAACAGCAAAAAAUAUGAUCAACGAGAGUCGAACUACGAACUAAAACAAAUAUUGAACUAAUUGUUAAUCGAUGGAACUUAGAAGACCAAUGUUUUUUUAGUUGGACUAAAUGUUUGAUUUAUCAGUUGUUUUAUCUAGUACAUAUGUAUAAAGCAUGAUGAUGCCUGUGACAGUCCCUGGUUCCCUCUAGAAUCUGGAAUGCAAUUAGAUCAACCAAGCUAGAAGUUCCCUGGUUCCCUCUAGUCUGGCAUAAAAGAGCAACUCCUAGGCACUCAACUAAUGCUUGGCUGUUUACUCUUAACCGCAAUCCUACACUAGAUCGCAUGUCGAGUUGGAAUUUGGAUGUCGAGACGUCUUGUUUGCGUUGUGGUACCUGUAAUGAGACUAGAAACCAUCUGUUUUUUUAGUGCAGCUACUCGCAGGAAGUGUGGAAAGCAAUCUGCUUGAAACUUGGCGUGAAUGGCCCUCCAGCGCAAUAGGAUGCCGUUCAAACAUGGUUGCUAAACUAUGUCGGAAAUGCAACCCUUUCUAUGGCCCUUUCCCAAGGGUGGAGUGCUUGCCUUUACGAAGUAUGGCGCGAACGAAAUAGAAGGACUCAUCACGGACUUACCCUUCCUCAUUCUCGGAUCACCAGUUUGGUUUUCUUCCACCUCAGGGAUAAGUGCUCGGCUUUGUCUCUUUUAGGGUCAAAGCUUGGUCCUUCUCUACUGGCUUUGUGGCAAAACUGAUUCUCUCUCUGUGUAUUGAGCAAUCUUUUUGCUAGUCUUUCUUCUUCUCCUUUUAGUUCCUUUUUAAUGCUGUAUCCUAUUCUAUUUAUUAUAUAAUGAAGGUCUUAAAAAAAAAAAUAUAUAUAUAUAUAAAGCAUGAUGAAAUAUUUAAGUUAUAUAAUCUUGACCCUCUUAAAAAAAUUAGGGAUAAUAUUUCAAAAAAAUAACGAUUCCAUAUGUUGACAAAUUUAUGAUGACUUUUCAUGACUUGUCGUAUAUAUAAUCAAUAGAACAAUUGCUUUUUUUUACCACAUCUUACCAUAGUCGACAAUUAGUAACUGACAACAUAUUUACCUCUAAUGUUGUUUAAAACGUAUAGUUAUCGACCGAUCGUAUCAUGAUAUAUAGUAAAUAUAUUUAUAUUAUUUUUUUAAAUAAGUUAAAAAGUAAAAACAAAACAAAAUGUUAUUGACCAACGAUAACAUUUGGUUCAACCGGUUGAAGAUCCCAAGUUUUUUUUUGUUACAACAGAAGAUCCCAAGUUUACUGAAAGAAUUACAGUUUAAAUCUCCAUUAUAACUUGUGUAAACUAUAAGACAAAAGCUGUAAUGAUAUCAUAUCAUAUUCCUACUUUUGAAAAUAUGAUUAGAUGAAAACUUGUGGAUAGCUUUAUCAAUAAUUGAUUUUCUAAUGAAACAAAUAAUUAUCCUAUAUUCAUUCUUUAUUUUUAUGAUCAACACGUCCGAAAUAGUAUAGACGUGAAAAUUUGUAUUUGUGAAGACACUUAUAUUCCAUGUGGAAUUGCAUAUACCGUCUCAUACGAUGUGGAUAAUAAUCAGCCACACAACAAAUAUUUAAAUGCUAUCGAAACUUUUCAAAGGACAGAAAACAAAUUUUUUAUAUGUGCUGAGUUGUGUAUAUAUACAGAAAUUAUUAUAUUUAUAUACCCGGUAAGACAAUGCUGAUGCAAAUACAUACAAAAAUUUCAAUUAACGGACAGUUCUCGAAUCACGAAAAAAACAAACUAAUGUGGAAUUAUUAUCGUGAUAGGUUUAAUUCCUUAACCAGACAGAACAUCUUAUUGUACUAGUAAAGUAACUCUGUUAAUUGUUAAAAGUCCCUACAAUACAUUCUUAACAUGCAUACACACACAAAGGCUGGAAUUAGAGAGACAUUAGGGUAGUAAAAUAAGGAAGUAAGAUAAGGAAUUAAUAGAUGGCAAAAUUAAUCAAACGACUAAUCAAUACAACUCUAGAGAACAAGAAAAAACCUAAGUCUUUUAAUUAUAUAAGACAUGUUCUUAAAUUCCUCCAUGCCCUCAUAUCUUCGUACCCUUCUUAGAUGUCCUCAUUUCCAUAUACAAAAAUAUAUAUAGAAGAUAUAAGAACUAAAUUAAUAAAUAUAUUUUGAGUCUUAAUGGUCUAGAUAUAUAUAUAGACCGAUAAAGAACUAGAAGUGAUGUUGAUGAUGGUGAUGAUACAUAGUAGAUGGGUCAUGAUGAUGAUGAUGAUGAUGCCGACUCAUACCUUCCCUUUGACUGUUAUGAUCAUCUCCUUGAUCCCUACUAAGACCCAUCUGACCCGUACCCGCUCCAAGAUUGAGAUACACCAGUCUUGAAUCCAAAUUGUUAUUACUCCCUCCACUACUUCCACUAUUGUGCUCCUCAUUCAUCUGAGGGUAAAUUGUGUUGUUGUGGUCAUUAUUGUUAUUAUUGCUAUUGUUUCCUUCUUCUCGAGAGAUCACCAUUGCAGCGGAUUGAACAAGCUCAAGGCAAAGCCUGAGCUUAUUUGGUUCAAUAUGAGUCAAUCCAGGAACUGCCCCCUUGAACAAGAAAUCCGAAGUUAACGUUCUAAGGAUAUCAAGAGGCGUGAUUCCACCGACUGUACGUACAUUUGGAUCGGCGUGAUGGUCUAACAGGACAGCCACCAUGUCGGGAGAGACCAUCUCAGCCGCGAUGUGUAACGGUGUCUUCCCUGCUGGACCCGCUGGAUAGUUCACAUCGGCUGCUCCAAGUUCAAGCAAUGCCUUCACAACUUCUCUACUACAGCUUUCAACAGCGUAAUGCAAUGCUAAUGACUCAUCAAGAUUGAGUCCUUCUCCCAUUACCAUUAGUUUCACUAGCUCCACGUCUGAUGAAUCCAAAGCUCGUCUCAUCCUUCUAAUCUUUUGAUCUUCAAGGUCUUGUGCCACGGUGAGAUCAUGGUGGUGAUGAUGUGGCAUUAGGGAACGUCGAGCUAUGGAAGAUUUGAGACGAAGCUCUUCGAUUUUGGCGACUACAUCUAUGGUGAGAUGUUUGGCUAGAAUCUCCGGUGGGAGACCUGAUUUGGCGACUAAGUGAGAGCAAGUGGUCCAUAACUGGUGCAUGUCUUGCUUCCUUGAUGCUAUUAACACUUUCAUCACAUCUUCUAUUGAGGCUUUCUCCACCAUGCUUGCCAAUUGUUUCUGACAAUAAUACAAACAUUUUUAUUGAUUAGUGCUAUAUCUAAAGAACCGACAUAUUUUUGUGAGCAAGUGGGUUUAAUUUCCCUUUUUAGGUUAUGGUUUGGGUUUUUUCUUUUUAAAAAAAAAUCUUCAUUUUAGUUGGAUGUUUUUAUGGAGUAGGUUUCAUUCGUUAUCUAUGACUUAUUAUCGAAAUCUCAAAAAAGGAAAAUCGAGAGUAUAGUGGGAUUGGAUAAGAAAUUAAGACUUAAUAAGUGAAUAGAUCCAACUACAUAAUAUAGCUCUUCAAAGUUUCUACUUUUGGGAAUAUGCUCUUCCGUGCAACAAAACCAACGUUAUCUAGUUUCAGAAAAUUUUCCGACGAAGAUGGUUCCUUUGCAAGAAAAUAAAUUACACAUGAAAUCAAGACAACAACAAAAAUUAUUUGCCAUAUACGUAUAUAUGUAUAUACAUAAUAUUAUCGAAAAUGGUUUUGAAAUUUCAGCAAAUUUAAGCUAAACCAAUAUAUUAAAGAAGCCAAUCAAUAUCAACCAAAAUCAAGAGGGUUUUGAACAUUUAACAAAUUUAAGCCAAACUAUGAAAGAAAAACAAUCAAAAUCAAAAGGGUUUUGAUAUUAAGCAAUUCUAAGCAAAACCCAUGAAAAGAAAAACAAAAACAAAAGGAAGCAGAACAACAAAGAAGUUGAAAAUUUUAAUUUUGUUUGCUCUGGAUGUGCAUGGAGAGGUAAAGCAAGUGAAGAAAGAGAGAAAGAAACCUGAGUGAGCAAUGCGAGCUGCUCGACGCCGAAGUAACGAGAGGCGGCUAAAGUAUCGAGAGCAAGAUCGACGGCGGCUGAGCAAUGCGUGUGCCAACAACCUCUCUCGCCACAAUUCGGCCUUGGCUCGUGUUUCUGCGGCACGAUCGAGACUUGUCCGCUAUAAAGAAACUGAAGCAGCAGCAGAAACACCUCGUAACCGACUGAGUUCACUGGUAUGACUCCAGAUGGGGCCGGGGAGCCUCUUGUUGGGCUAGCGGGUACUGACCCAUGUCGGGUCGGGUCGAUGCCUGUGCCGGAUUGUGGUGUGUCGGUCCCACAAAAGAAUUUGCGGAAGAAGAGGCUCCGAGCGGCGAGGAUGCAACGGUGGGCGUGGACUAGACGGCCUUCGACGCUGAAAGUUACGUCGGAGAAAGCUUGACCGUUGAUUAGAAGGUUUAAGAAAUCCAACGACAGAGAUCUCAGGGAUUCCUCGAGGCUGCUCAUUCUUUUCUUUUCUUGUGGUUCUUGAAUUUAUCUCCAGAAGAAAAAAAACUAGGGUUUAGCAAGGAGUCUUCCGAAAAAUUAAAUAAAGUAAUAGGUUCCUCCUUUGAUUGAAUUUGUUGGCUAACUAGAUGUUAUGGAUUUUUAAAAAGUAGAAUAAUUUUUUCCGGGGAGAAAAGCUUAAGGUUUGAUCUUUUGAAGCUUCUUGCUCUUCUAUGAGAGAAUAAAAAAGAGAGAAGAGAGAGACAGAGAGAAGGAUUCUUUAUUGCUUUGUGGUGUUAGAUAUUUUUUGUCCUGAUAAGAGAGAGAGAGAUUGAAUGAGAGAAAGAGUGAGAUAUUUGAAUGGAUGAACCGGGCUGUUCAGAUAUUUAAACUUAAAUGGUUAAAAAAAAAAACAAAUCGUUUGUCUUUAUGACGAUUAUAAAAUGUUAUAGCAUUAAUCAAUUGGAAAUUUAGUGAUCUGGUUACCCAAAGAGGAAAAUAAUAAUUAACAAGAAAAUAAUACAGGGUGGGCUAAAUCUACUUAUGGAAAUGAAAAGAAUUGGAAUGAGAAAACUAUAAUAUAAAUAAUGAGAAAGUGUUAAUUAAGAAAUAAUAAACAUCAUUAGCAUCUGCCUAAUCAAAAUUCUACUCAAUCUCAUCAAACAUUAAAUUUCCAAAACUAGACGUAUUUAUUGAGUAGGAUAAUAUAAUAAAACCAAGAUCCUCGGCAAUUGUCUUUUUGGCUUGGUACCGAACAUGUGAAAGCCUGAACAGCACCAUGGGUACAUACACAUAUAUGUAUCGUGUAUGUAUAUAUGUAAGGUUGUGUCAUGCAUGUGUGCAUGGUAAUGAGAUAAAAUGGUAAAACUGAGAGGAAGGUGAUGGAUAAGAACAUAGGCCUAAUUAAGUUAAAAGACAGAAGGAGUGAAAUAAAUUUCCUAACUGUAGUGAAUUCUGAUUUGAUGGUUUUCUGUUUGACCGUUGGACCAAUCCUCACCAUCCUUCCUUUCCCUUCUCUACCUUUUCUUUUUCUUAUUUAAAGUUUCAUUAAAUUUGUUUUAUUUUUUGCUAAAUUAUUUCUUUUUUAAUCGGAUUCAAUUUGUAAUAUAAUACUAAGAGUUAUUUUAGAGAUAGUCAUAAAUAAAUAGAUUGAUGGAAUCGCUUUUGAUACUUUUUUAACAUUAUCUGUGAAAAGAAAAUAAUACGCUUAUAAUACCAUUGAUUAACCAUCUUUGUGAAUGGUAAUUAUAAUAUCAACAAUGAUUUAACGAAGUAACAUUAGUAUGUUUAUAGACAGAAAUACUAAAUGAAUGUAAUUUCAACAUAUGAUUAAUAUAAUUAGUCGCUAAAGUUAUUAUUUUUAGCACUCUUUUCAUUCUAUCAUACCAAAUUACCAACAUAGUAGAGUCUCAUUUAGUAAACAUACAAUCUCAUUUCUUUUCUUAUCAAAAAUUAUAAAUAUACCCACGUACGUUAACUCUGGAUGCUGUUUUGUAAAUAUGAAGAUUCAUCCGAAUACUAUUUGUAGUAAAUUAUAGAAAUUCAAGGUAUUUAUUAGCCAAAAAAACAUAUAGUACUAAUCAUAAAAACAUAGCUAUUAUUCAUGUAAAAUACCAAAAUCAAAUCAAUCAGGCAGAUAACGAAAUUAAUAUGAAACAUCCAACCACAGAAGUCAAGACGUGGCUCUGAUAAUGGCGCAGUCGUGGUCCGAACCCAUAUAUUCACCAGUUAAGAAAGAGAAAGCUGAAUUUUCCAAGUUGGAGCAAUCAAAAUUAAAAUCAUUCUGCUUUAACAAAAACAAAAUAUAUUUUCUUUCCACAAGAAAUUAUAAAUGGAUGGGAGAGAGUGGGAAGGGCAUGGAGAAGCGUGUCGGCCGGAUCGAUAGGGUCCGUCUGUUGGAUGUUUUCUUCUUUUGUUAAUACAUUGACCAAUUUUAUUUAAUUUUUCUAUCAACGAAUUUAGAUAAAUUAAAAUCAAACUGAAUGUAUAAGAGUUACACCAGGAUCCCAAAUAGGUUCGAUUUGAAGAUUAAAACCAACAAUAACCAGGUUUACCGGAGAAACAAACCAAAAACAGAACAGAACUCUUCAAAAUACUGUCACAUCGCCUCAGUCAUCUUCUGUCGAUUAACCCUAACUAAUUUUCACAUAACCAAACUGGUAUAAAAUUAAAUUAAUAUACUAAACUACAUCGGAUUUAUCUAUAAUUUUUUAAUUAAGAUGGUUGUUAUAUAUAAUUAAGAUGGAUUUGCAUUAUCUAGUUCAAAAGGGUGAUUUAUGACAAAAAAUUCUUACCGAAAAAAAAAUUAGUUGUUGCUAAGAAUGUAGUACAGCUGAAAAAUUUUGUUUGUUUUUGUUACGUAUAUCAUCGUAAUUCAACCAGAAAAAAAAAUUGUCAUGCAAGAGAUGAUUGGAUGAUUUUUUCUACUUGUACGAACUAUUUUUCGAUAGUAUUUCCACCUCGUGUGCUCAGGGGCGCACGAGCGAGAGGAUUUUUGAAUUCUUUUCCCGUUCAUUUUUUUACUUCGAAUCAAAAUAUCAAAAUGUAGCUCCGUCUUUAUUUGUUUGGUAAUUUAGGGUAAAAGAAAGUGAGAAAAAAUAAGAGAAAAAGAAUGACAACACAGAAGGGCACUGACAGUCGUAUGAUAAGGAAGUGGUUCGAUUUGACGUUUGACUUGUCUUUUCAUUCUCUCUCUCUUCUUUUUAAUUUUUACGUUUUCCUUUUUUUCUUCAACCUACCUUACAUCAAAAUGUAGGUUGUUUUUUUUUGAGAACAUAUGAAAUGUUGUUUUUUUUAACACAAUUAAUGCAAUGAUUCUUAUGCACAUCGAAUUUAAUUUAUAUUCUCAGGUUUUCUAUUUUAUUUUGGACAUUAUACAUCAAUAUAGUGCCUUUUUAUUUAUUUUGCACCAUAAUACAUAUAUGCAUAUAUAGGUAAAAGUUUGAAACAUUUCAUCGUUGUGAUUGGCCUAGUUUGCAUAAGUCUUGAGUUUUGAUUUUCCUCACUCGUCUUAGGUGAAUCAUGAUAUUCAUUCAAUGGGUUAUUACAAGCUAUGAGUACUAUUUUAUAAAAAGACAUUAUUAAGAUGGUUGUUAUAUAUGCUUAUUUUUGUCUUAAACAGAAUAGUUAGGGAUAGAAAACGUGUAAAUGUAAAAAAUUUGGAUGCUACCGAAACCUAGUUAACAUUCUAUGUACAUGUCCUUCAAUCAGCUCUAAUGCUAGUUUCGUCAAAAACCCUAGCUAACACGAUUAGUUCACAACUUAGUUUUUAAGAAAACCGGUCUUGUUAAUUUUUAAAAUUUGAUUACUGGUAAGUCUUUCAUAUUUUCUGCUGGUUGCAGGAAGUUGAGAGUGAUCAUUAAACCAAUAACGUUGAAAAUAAAAUAAAAUAAUUGUUUAAGAUUUUGGUAACCAAUGUAUUUUCUUAACCAAUGUAUUCAAAUAUACUGCAAUUUGCAAUUUGUGUGUAACCAAUUUGAAGUUGAGAGUAACCAAUAUCGACUUGGAAACAUUUUGACGUUUAAGAAAAUACAUUGGUUACAAAAUUUUAAAUAUUAUUUUAUUUUAUUUUCAACGUUAUUGGUAAAAGUCUAAAAGAUUGCGUUGUCAUCUCAAUCAGUUAUUAAAGAGUAAAUGGGAAAGCGGGUCCUGGUUUGACGGGAUCCUAAGGUUUUUGCUACAAACUAUUUGUUGUAUUUACCAACAUUCAUUUUAUAUUUUACCUUUUUCAAUUUUUAAGAAUAAAUAGUUUUUGUAGCUGAUUUUAAGAAUAAGUAUACUUCUAAUAAUAAAUAUGUCAGUCAUUUUUAUUUUUAUGUUUGCAUUUUUAUGUUUUAAAAAGAAAGAUGUCAAAAAAAAAAUCCAUAGUGCAAGAAGAAGUAUGGAUGUGUUGUGGUUUGAAGAUUACCGACGCUUACCAAACAAAAAAAAAGUUAUAAGAAAAUAUUAAAAUAAAAACAAAUAGUUAGUAAUCAAUUCAAAGUUUCACAGAAAACAUACUAUGAGAGGAAGAUCUAUACUCCAGUAGUACAGCAAUAGGAAUUAGACACAAAGGAAGACUCCAGAAAGUGAGUUUAACUGGGAUUAGUCUUUAAUCUAUGCUAGAGUUUGUUUUGGGAUCAUACCUUCUACCUUUCUUUUAGUUGUUUGAGCUGAUUACAUCUUUAUACUAAGUGUACGAAAUUCAAUCUUUUUUAGGUGUACUCAGUAGUCACUAAUUCUAUAAAUUUAAUUACCUUUUUUUUUUACCUCCAAUAUAUUGAUGCAGGUUAUUCCGUAAAAUCUGUAACAAAAAAAUUAUGAUCAAUGUGCAUGAUUAUUGUUUCAAAUAAUAACUAAUCCAACGAUUUUUAAUUAACAAUGGCAUGGUGCCCACAUCUUGCAUUUUAUAUCCCAUAUAUGCCACUUUCUUAAUAUAUUCCCCACCCCUUUUCUUCACCUUUCUCUUUUCUUAUUUUAAGAAAUAUUUUUUUUUUCUGUCAUUUGCUUGCUUUUUGUUUUUCAUUUCCCGACAGCGCUAAUUUUUAUAUUAUAUUUACAAGAUUGAGGGAAAAGUUAAAAAGAUGCCACCUAAAUACUUAAAUAUUAAAUAAUUAUGAUUGGUACGUGGAGGAAUACUGGUCACUACAUUUCUAAACCACUUAAUUAUCAUCCAUGACUACACUCAGAUUUUUGGAAACGCUUAAAAGCUUCUUCUAUUCUUCAUUUUUCUUUCACAAACUCAAAUAUAAAUAUGAUUUCCGAAGGGGACCAGAGCACAUAGAAGUAUGUGUGGAUUACGUAUAUUAAUAGUUAGAUAAAAAUUGGACUAAUAAAUUUUAAAUUAUAAGAACACAAAGAAACAAGUGAAACUAUUCACAUGGCUAAUUAAUCCUGUACUAAUUUGGCAUUUUCCACUGUUCUUCAACAGUGAACAACUAACGAAGUGUUAUGAACUAUAUAGUAAUACACUUUUAAAAGCAUUACCAAUUUUUGAGUCUUUGACGCACCAAACUUAUAUAUACAUUAAUUUGUUGAUAUAACAUGUGAGGCAAUGAUAUGCGAAGAUUAUGUAUGCAGAAUAUACUGAAUACAUAACAUUUACAAUACAUGUAUGUAGAAUAUAUAUAUAUAUAUAUAUAUAUAUAUAUAUCUUAGAGUAAUUUCGUAGUUUUCUAGAGUCAGUAGAAAGUUUGCAAUGGUCAAAAUGUACAACCAAUAAGAAAGAAUAAAUAUAAAGCCAUCAUUUUCCUAACAUCAUAGCAUGCUCUGUAAGUCUAGGAAGGUGAAGAAGUAUAAUAGUUUGAACAAGAUUUGAAUUAGCUAACUUAGACUUUGUUGGAAAAUACAAGCAUAUGUACACCUAAGUGUGGUUGUGUGUAUAUCCCAUCUCUAUGUGUAGAUGUAUGUAUGUAUAAUGUGUUAAAUCGUUUCCCAAAAAAAGAUGACGACAGGCGACAGCUUUGAAUGCAGCCGAAAAUAACAUGAACCCCAAGAUGUUCCAGUCUUCAAAGUCGUCUUCAAGUGAAACUCCUGACCUGAGGUUGAUACAUCAAAUUUAGAAACUUAUAUAGAUACCAAAUAAUUCGUGUAUAGGUGUCCACCAAUAACCCAUGUCUAUGCUUUGAGUGCAAGCCCAUUGGCUGAGGUUGAUUGACUUUUUCACUAAAAGUUGUAGGGUUCUUGGGUAUAUAAUAUAGGUAUAAAUAUGUGGGUAUGUAUAUAUUUAUAGAAAGAGAGAGGAGGAAUUUAAGUGGAACCCAACUGAAUGUUGUGAGCUGGGAUUCAAAUGUUGAUGGAAAAUCCGUAGAAAAUUAUAAGUGGAUGAGCAUAAAAAUUAGGUUCUCGUGGAAGGAGUUGGGUCAAUACACAACUUAAAUUCUCUUUUAAGUGGUUAUGGUGAUGAUAUUGUCUCUCUUAAUGUUUGUGUUGGGGAAAGUCACCAACUAUGCCUUCCAUCUCUACCAUCCAUUCGACUACUCCAAAGAUCAAUAAAAUUGAAUACAAUUUGAAGUAAAUAAUCAAGAUAAAAUUGAAGUAAUAAUCAAGAUAAAAACGGUAAAUAUAUUGAAUACAAAUUUCGAAAAAUUAUAUGGUUUUAUAAUGCAAUUAACAUGACAUAUCUUAAAUUCUUGUAUCAUUAUAUAUAGUCAAAUAUACCCGAAUUUAUAUCUUGAUAUAGAAAAGAUAAUGAUAUAUAUGGGUCGUAUACACUAACUGAGUUUUUCUUUUCUUAAUCCAAUUACAAAUUAAGAUUAUUUUUAGGGAUUCAAAUAUCAAAAUACAUGUAGUCUCGCACCAGUUUGUUAACUUCAUCCAAUAAAAGGAUGACAAAAGUUUCACUUCUUAUUUUUUUUCUCUAAAUUUGACUUGCUAUUGUGGUGAUAGCCUGAUAGGAUAUUUUUAGAUUCUCGGUUGAACAAAAAAAAAAAAAAAGAUUUCUCGAAGAAACUUUUAAAGUUGACAAAUGUCACUUUGAAACAUUUGACCAAAAUAUUUAUACUGGCGGCAUGAUUAUAUAUAACGGGGAUAUUGUAGUUUGUAGAAAGGCGAAUAUGCUUCAGUUGUUGCAAUGUACUCACAUGGUCUUUGCCCUAAAUCAUUGGCAUUUGAUAUUUACAAGUAAUUUCCAUUUAUCAAUUUGUCUUUUGUCUUCAUAGCUAUCACAUCGACCGGUCUGUAUUACUGUAUAUUCUGUGCACCCUCCUCCACAUAUUAGGAUUGGUUAUAUAAUUUUUUUUUUCGUAAUGCAAUUAGAAUGGAUCAUACGUCUCCAUUAGAUGAAAACAGUUUACUAAAUAACCUCCACGACACUUCGAACCGAGUACCUUCAGAUUAGCUUAAUUAUGUAGCAGUCAAGCCAGUCAUAAGAGCCGACAACAGUGUGUAUACGAAGGUGAUUCUGAUUUCCAGUUAUGAAUAUUAUGUAAAUCUUUUUAUCAAAAAACCAAAAAAAAAUCUGUAAAUUUAUCAUAACACUAGCCACUGGAGAAGCAAAAAACAGAGGUAUGAGAAUAUAUUAAAGAAAAUUAUCCGCAUUAUAAUCUUGCAGACUACGAUUUAUGAGCAUGAGAAAUAAACGAAUUCAUUGCCGCCUCUCGGUAUCACCAUUUGCAUUCGAAAAUCAUCUAUCUUUUGAAAGAGUUUCUUAGAAAGAGUUUUUUUGCUUCUUAAAUUUUGUAAGGUCUAAAUAAAAGUAUUAGAUAUAAAUGGUGGUGACUGGUGAGUGAUAGAAAUUAAAGAAAUAAGAAGAAUAAUGAUAAGUUAAAAAAAAGUGAAAUUAAAUUUUCUGUUUUUUUUUUAUUUUUUUAUAAUUUUUUUUAUUAUACUUCAUCCGUUUCACAAAGAGUGUCGUUCUGACAUUUUUCACACAAAUUAAGAAAUAAGAUAAAAAGUCUCUUAUACCCUUAUUAAUUUGCAGAAAUGACUUUUAGAAUUACAUUUAUAACUAAUUUUCUGAAUUUAGUUUGAGGUUAAAAAUAAUAUUUUAUGUCAAAAUUUACAUUAAAAUUCUAAAAUAACAUUCUUUUUUAAACAAAAAAAAGUGUCAGAACGACACUCUUUGUAAAACAGAGGUAGUAUUCUUUUUUUUUUUUCUCUAAUGUGUCAAACCAUUUGCAUUUACUAUAUUUAUUGAAUUUCUUUUUUAUCCAAAUCCCUCAUAAAAAUAGUAAUAAUAUGUACAGUUUAUUAAUUUCAGAGGUAAUUUGACUCUUUCUAUAUACACACAAAAAUGUAAUAUAUAUAUAUAUAUAUCUUAUAAGCCUUGUUUAUAUAUGACCUCUAAAUAAUAUGUACUAUAAUAUAUAUAUAUAUUAUAAGCCUUAUGCACUAACUUCAUGAUAUGCAUACGACAAAGUAGUGAUACAUAUGUAUUGUAUUAUUGGGCACAAGAAUAGACCCUCGCUCUUAAUGUCAUCCAGAUGGUGAUAAGGACAUACUAAUCUAUCAUUUCUAAAUGUCUUUAAGCUUUUAAUUUCAUUGCUAUCUCACAUUCGAAAUAUAACUAUACAACCAAACUUUUAUAAAUGAAUAAUGUCAGAUUAAUAUUUUUAUAAUGUAUCAACAUAAUAAUAUAUUGAGGUAUUAUUUGGUAGAUAAACUAAUUUUAGAACUUAAAAAUAUUAAUUAAUUCAUCAUAUAUCAAUUUAUAAAGGUUUUGCUACAUUUCAGUUUUUAAAAGUAGUUUUAUACGGGAGAAAAAAACGUUACGGGAAAUUAUGUAAAGAAAAAACAUAUUAUUGGGAUAUUAAUGGAACAAAAAUAAUUGUAUAAAUAUUUUUUUUUUGGUCAAACAAAAUAAUUGUAUAAAUUAAAACUUGAAAAUUAGGGAGAUUAGGCGUAUCUUUUCUUAUAAUGGGAAAGGGACUUGACAGGAGAAAGCAGAGGAAAAUUAAAGAAGAGCACACACUUCACACUUGAUGAAAGAAGAAAGUAGCAAUUUUGGAAAAAAUUAAACAUUUAGUUAUUAGUAUUACGGGUCAAGUGGAAAUUCUUUUGUGUUAAUUUGAUAUAAUCUGGGUCCCAUUCGCCACAAAAAGUUACAGCUAUCAAAUAAAAGGAAAAUAAAGUUGGAAUCGAGGGUUAAAAGCAUUUAUAUCCAUAUUUGGUUCACCAUCACUAAAUUUUUAUUUCAUGGAUCCCACAUUAUAUUUUCCCUCAAAUCAUCUAAGAGGAAAAUCUUUGGCAAACGUAGAGAAUCAGAUGCAAUAACAGAGACAUAAAAGAUCUGAAAACCAUCAUACCAUUAUAUAUAUAUAUAUAUUUCUCUAAAUAUAAUAUAUAUUGUUGACAAGAAUUUAUAUGUGAAUGAUUUGGGGCCAGAAAAAAGGUAGAUGAUACAAAAAAAAAAAUAGGUGCUUGAGUUAUCAUAUGGCAAGCCUUUAGGAGACAAGUAACCAGUUUGUAUAAAUUAACACGGAAUGCUAAAAGUGCUAAUUAUUACUUUCUUAACUACAAUUGUUUACAACAGACAAUCUUUAUUAACAAUUAAAAAUUAUCAUAUUCAUUUUGUUUGAUUAUAAAUAUCCUAUUGACACUUUUUUACACAAAUGAAUAAACAUAUUAAAAUUGAAUUAUACCCCAAAACAGGUUAAAUUUUGGAAUUAUGUCCUAUUAAUUUUUAUUUUUAGUUUUGAAUUGAUGCUAUAUAUUAGGGACUUCAUGAUAAAAUUUACAUUAAAACGCCAAAAUAUAUUUAUUUUUUGAAUCAGGAAAAAAACUAAAAGACAUUUAGUUCGUUUGCAAUUUCACACACAGAUAUAUAUAUAUAUAUAUAUAUAUAUAUGUAUGUAAAAGUGGGCGAGAAAAGCUGAAAUUUACUAGGUAAUGGGUGCUAUUCUGAAGUCUUUGUGGCAUACGACAGAAGGGGUGUUUGUUACGGAUUGCAGGUGAUUUAACAUAUGCAGAAGAAAGAAAUUGUAGAAGAGAUAAAAUUUAAACAAAAACUGAAGGUGAAGCAGUAAACAUGAGUUGCUCUUUUAAUAGUUGAAACAAAAUUUGAGCAGAUAUUUAGUAUGUAUGAUCCGUGAUUAGGGAUGUUCAAUCCAAAAUAAACCAAAUAAAAAAUUAUAUUCGAAAAUCGGGUAGAAUGGUAAAAAAAUUCUACAUUUAACAUUUGAACUUUAAGAUUGACAUUUAAAACAUUUGAACUUUUAAGAAAUUAGUUUUAAAACCAAAAAAUAACAUUUUUUACAUUUUACAUGUGAACUUUUAAGAUUAGUACAACUUAAAAUGAAGGAGAUUAAAAGCACAAAAAGCAAUCUUCAAAAACUUAUCUUUAGGAUUUGUGUUCCACUUCAAUCUGCAUGGUCGAGAUGCAAACCAAAUUGCAUGCCUUCUUCAUAAUGUUAAAACCAAUAUAACCUUAAAACAAAAAAUAUAUCCAAUUAAAUAAAUGAGUACUGUCAUAGUGUUAUAUAUUAUUAUAGGGUUGAUUAGUCAAAUGUAGUCGUGUUUUUUAAUACUGUUUGCUAGAUUAAAUCAUUAAAUUACUAAGAAAACAUUGCUUUAAGAAAUAUUAAACACGAAUGCGAACUGCAUGCAAACAAUAUUUGUCCAUAUUGCAUUCCAGUUUUCACAUUUAUGUGUAAAUCUCGUCUAAAAUGAUGUUUGGUAAAAGUACAGUAGUUACAGUAUUAAGUUUGUCUAAGAAUUGAAAUUCUACUGAAAUUUAAUUUUCUAAAAAUAAUAAGCAUGAACGAAAACAAAACCAAAUACAUACGGUUUUAAUUCUUAAGACAGGUUGUUAAGUUUUCUAAUAUAUCUUUAAUUUUUACAUCUAAAAGCUUACGGUUACAAACUUACAUUUCUAUUUUAUGGUCAACUAAAAGCUUACAAGUUACAACUAUGUUUCUUACCAAUUGCAUGCCAAAAAAAUAACGACGGAUGAUCAAGAACAAAUAUUAUUAUAAAAAAAAAAACUUAACAAACGAAUUUAUGGAAAUUCGAUAUACAUGUAAGUCCACAGGUUUCUGACUGUCCUACAACAUAGUCCAAGAUUUACAGUACUGGUAUUUUUCUUUAACUAUUGUCUAUAAAAAAAAAACUUUUUAGCAAUAUAGAAUAAGAAUUCAUAGAAAUGUCACACAUAGAAUGUUUUUUGGAUUAUUUUAACGCAUAAUUUUUUUUUUCUUUUGACAAUUUUUUUUUCUUUCUAUUAAGGGUUUUUAAUACAUAUUUCAGAAUUUGCAAGUUUAAUUGAUCAGCACAACUAAACCGUUGAAAAGUAUGAAAUAAUUUACGUACGUAGAAUUAUACAUCAAAUGAAUUGAAAUUUUCUGCUAAGUAAAUGGUAGAUUUUCCUUUUGUUUAUCGUUUCAAUAUGCAUAAUUUGAACUAAUCUUUAUUUAUGUAACCACUGCGAACUGUUAAUUAAAAAUAGUUUUACAGCAUCAGUAGGGUAUAUAAACUAUGCUAGCAAAGAAUCAUGUACUGAGUCAUAAAGCCCCCGAAAGAGUGUUGCGUUGAAAGAUCUAAAGGUAUCCAGAUGAAAUUUGAAGACCAUAUCUAAAAUAAAUUAAACAUGAGAGAUGAAAACAUGAAUGAAUAGAGAUUAUUUAAGUAUGUGAUUAACACUUUGUUGGGAUGCAAAAUGAUAUAUGACAAGACAAGACAACGGUGUGUGUUAUUGCAUGUGAAGAGUGAUGUUGACUUCUAUGACGUGACCUCUCAAUCUCUUCCUCUCUCUGUUCCUCCUCUUAUUUUUUUUUCUUCUUACAUGUUUUUUUAUACUUGUGCACUAACUAGAAAAACUAGAAUGAAGGUAGCAAAAAGUCCGUCGUUUAAUCCUCCUUUUAACAAAUUAUUAAUCAAAACGUACCAAAAUCAGCAUACAUAUAGGUACACUAUAUGCAUGAAAUUAAAAUGAGAUUCCUUUACGUUUACACAACAACUUAUUUUUUGUUACUUUUGUCGACAAUUUAUAUUAUAUAGGGAGAAUUUUCAGUACCAUACUACCAUUGACUUAAUUUCUCUAAAUCUACCUAGAAUAAUAUAAUUAGUUAUUCGCUAUUUCUUUUGAUGUCAAUUUUUUUUUAAUAGGAAAUAAUUACAUGAACUGUUAAUCUACCGCAUGAGAGGUCUCUUCCUAGUUAUACGAUUUUGCCAAAAUAGCGGCUUUCAACAGAACGGUACAACCGCAGCGUUACUUUAAACGGGCUUCGUUUAGUUCAAGUAUGUCUGAACGUUCGACACGUGUCCUGAACUUACUAUCACUUCACUAGCUUCUGCUGCCACAAGCCCCUAUUAACUAAAACUUAAAAUCCAAUUAAUUAAAAAUAUGAAAUCCAAGAAUCGAAUAGUGUUCUAUUACUAGGCUCUGAAUGGUACACAAAUUAGAAUAAAAAGGUGGAAAGAAAAAGUGAAGGAAAAAUGUAUAGGUUCACCAAAACUAAAGUUAAUCUUUCUUCAUGCAUCUUUAAAGUAGAGUUUAAUUUUCAGUUGGAAAAAAACACUUGGUUAAUACUCUGAUAAAUAGUGGGUCCAUAUUGAUUUGUUAACUCCAAUUAACUAUAAUUUGUUUACCGAUCAGAGCCUAAAUAAAAAAAGUUUGACAAAAGUGUAUUGUGUAUUAUUUUACAUUUCCAAUAUAAUUUGUUAGACAAAUUUUUAUAUUUAACCCAUAUCAAUGUAGACUCAUGAUAAAAAAAAAAGUAUUUAAAUAACCUCACGGUCUGGCAUCUACAUCAGAUUUUCUUCGCAAUGACCUAAUUAAUCUUUCUUUUUUUAAUAUCAAAAUGACAUAAGAAACCAAAUCGAACUUUUAGUCGUAUUUGAAAGCGUUCAUGUUCAAAUCUAAGUACCAAAGCUCUCCAAGCCGAGUUAAUUAAUAAUGUGUGUUGUAGGAGCACUGACUUCCACAUGCCAUGAUUGUGGCCUAGAGCUUAAGUCUCAGUCUCCUUUUCAUGAGUCUCUCUCACUCAAUGAAAUGUUCAGUAGUAUUAAAUGCACAAUGAUGUGAGCCUUUGCAUAAAACCAGAGAGUGAGAGACCUUUGGGUUGAACCAAAAGCUCUCACAAAAUUCCUUUUGUUUCAGAGUAUAGAGAGAGAAAGAGAGAGAGAAAGAGAGAGAGACGAUAGCAGUUGAAACUUGGGAGUUGUAGUUAAGACAUACCUGAAACUUUCUGUCUCAGUGAUGACUGUGACCAUUGGGCUUCGCUCUUCUUCUCUAUCAUCUCUGUUUUCAGGGGCUUUCAUGUCUUUUCUUCAUCUUUAGUAUAAUUCUCAUUUUACUAAUUAUUUGUUUUUAUCAUCAUUUACAGUGUGUAUUGCAUAAAAGAAGAUUUGGAUUCGACUUAAAAUCUAAGGUAAAACAAUGUAGAACAUCUCAAUUUUUUUCUUAUAUAUAUUUUGCAAACUUCUUUUCGUUCAUUUCCUUAUCGGAUUUCUUUUUCUUUCGUAUCUUCAACAUAUUUGUUUGACAAGACAUGUACUUGUGUGAUUGGAAAUCAUAAUAAGAAACGCGUACUUGUGUGAUUGAUUUCUCCGUUAACAGAUUAUUUCGAUCUUCAUUUAACAUAUGCAAAGACAUUCUUCUAGCUAACUGUGCUUUUUAAAUGAAACAAUGGUCUAGAAAAAAUAUAUUAACAAAGGCCAAACAAUAUUCAAAGAGAUUUUGAAAUCAAAACGAAGAAAGUUUAUUAUUUGAUAUAUAUUUUUUUUUGACCACAUUUAUUAUUUGAUAUUAAAGAAAUUAUAUUUGUAAUCAGCUAAUAUUUAAUGGAUAUUAACUAAUUGAUACUCCCUCCAUUUUUUUAUACAUGUCGUUUUAGUAAACUCACGCAAAUUAAAAAAAGUUUUAAAAUACUUAUUAUGACCUUAUUUAUUAUUAAAUUCACCUAAUACGAAUUAUUACAUAGCUUAUUAAAAAAGGGUAUAUAAAGUCAUUUUCUACUAGUAACUCUCUAGAUUGACGAGAACGUCAAUUAUUUUGGUAUAAAAAAAAAUCUUAAAACGUCAGGUAAUAAAAUACAGAGAGAGGGAAUAUAAGUCAUUUUAGUUCCAAAAAAACAAACUGAAACUUGGAAGGGGAAAACAUAUUUUCAUUACUCUAGAAGUAAACUAAACAUUUGAGAGGCAAAAAAUGCCGUUUAAUUGUUUAUGUCACAGCAUGGAGAAAAAAGAUUAAUGUUCGUCUUUGACAAACACAUUAGUUAAAUUAUAUACCAUCGUACCUAUAAUUACUUCACCCUUUUUUUAGUGACUAAAAUGGUAUACUAAAUUUUGCUGCCUAAAAAGUAGUUUGUUAUAUACAACAAUUCUUCGCACCGUAUGGUUCACGUGUUUUAAAGAUAUUUUUGAUACUGAGUAUGCUGUCGAUCAAUCUAGAAUGCCUAUGUAAAAAAAAAAAAAAACACUUCAUGAAUUUAAUCAAACAAAAAUAUCAAUCAUAAGCAUUCUUCUUUGAUAAUAUAGGCUUCUUCUUUGAUAAUAUAGGCUUUAUAUGGUAACUUGAGUUUGUGGACAUGACUCGAAAAUAAUUUUUCGAUAGGUAAAAUCAAAUAACUGAGUCAAUGGUGAAACAAGUUGGCAAUAAUUAACUUUCGUUUUUAAUCAAGGGGCCAAAGAAAGGUAAAAUAAUAAUGGCCCGACAAAUGAAAUUCGACAUGAUUUAAUGCGGAUUUACCAUUAAAUUUAGUUGUCACUUUCAUAGACUUUUUUCACCAAUUUCCAGAUCUCUCACUUUACCAUUCCAGUUUUGGGAAUUUCAUUAUUCUAAAGCUCUAUCAGUUUAAAUGAUUUACUAAUGGCAUAUUUAUUUUAACUAUUUACCACCUACCUACUGAUAUUUGAGUGAUAUUUUUAUAGUAGUUAUAAAUGUAUCAAGAAAAAAGAAAGGGGUAAUGUAAUAUCCACUUGAGGGAAAAAAAUAAAAGAAAGAAGAGAAAUCUCCAAUACUUUUCAUUCUCUGAAGUAUGGGCCUACUGAGUUUAUUACAUUAUGCCAAAUUGCCAAGCAGAGUCCAUCAAAUAUUCAAAUCCCAUUCAUACUGUUUCCAUAAACGACAUUCUGUUCUAGCGGCUAGUCUUUUAAGUUUUUCUUGUUCUUAAUUUGUGUUGCUUACUGUGUAGAUGUCUCUCCCUCUUACACGAGAAAAUUUUGUUGGUUCACCACCAGCUUCUGAAAGUCAGCUUGCUAUAUAUAUAUAUAUAUAUAUAUAUAUAUACAUAUAUAUAUAUAUAUAUGUUCAACGAGAGAGAUGUCUUCGAAAUUCAAACUUUAGUCGUUCUCCAAACACCAUCUUUGUCUCCACGACCAUUGAUGCUCAAUGUGAAGAGUUAGUAGUCUCAUCCAUUACACAGAUUCGCAACAAGCUCUUCCUCUCUUCUCUCUUCUUUAGAUCUACAUACAGUACAUUCUCUCUACCUCUUAUCUUGGAAUGCAAGAAACCUUGUUUUCCAAACUACAAUUAUAUGGGCUUACUUUGUAAAAGGCCCAAAUGACAUUAAUUCUACUUGGGCUAAUCUCACAGUCAAUAAAUCCAUUACAAAACAAUGGGACCUUCGCAUGAAUUGAAAGUGGGCGUCGUUUUCACUGCCUUAGACUCAAUCAGCAUUCUAUGAUGAAUUCAAGUUUGACUCGUUUCUCUCAAACAAUAGAUCCAUCGGAAAGUUAAAGCUUUCUAUGUGUUGAGAGUAGAAGAAACAAAGGAAAACACUUGGAAACAAAAAUAAGAGUAGAAGAAAUGGCAAAGUUAUUCAUAAAGCAAGCGGAGCAAUACGCGGCAGCCCGACCCAAUUACCCGAUCAAACUCUUCGAGUUCAUCGCGUCCAAAACACCGUGCCACGACCUUGCCUGGGACGUCGGUGCCGGAAGUGGCCAAGCCUCACGAUCGGUAACAAUCUUCUCUAAUUAUUUCACAAUUUUCAAUCUUUCUUGUAAAAAUCUUCAAUUUUGAUUUAGUGAGUGGAUUAGUGGUUCAAUUUUCAAUCUUUCUUGUAAAGGUUCAAUUUUGAUUUUUAGAUUUGUGAUGCCUAACAUCUUCCAAUUCAAUUUUCUUCUCGAUGUUUGAUUUUCAGUUAGCAGGAAUCUACAAGAAGGUGAUUGCUACCGAUACGAGCUCCAAGCAACUCGAGUUUGCUGCAAAGCUUCCCAAUAUCCGUUACGAGGUAACUCCACCGGUGAUGUCUUCGUCGGAGAUCGAGCAGCUGGUGGCGGCGGAAUCAUCGGUCGAUUUAGUCACCGUCGCUCAAGCCCUCCACUGGUUUGAUCUCACGACUUUUUACAGCAACGUGAAACACGUGCUCAAGAAACCCGACGGAGUAAUCGCCGCCUGGUGCUACACUAAUCCGGUGGUUAACGCCGCCGUCGAUGAGGUUUUCCGGCGGUUUUACGAGGAGAGGCUUGGACCGUAUUGGGAUAAAGCGAGGCGGCUUGUGGAGGAUGGUUACAGGGGAAUUGAGUUUCCGUUCGAGAAGAUCAUGGAUGAUGAGUCAACGGAAAGUCAACGUUUUCCGGUUAGGUUUGUGGCGGAGAGAGAAAUGGGGGUUGAAGAUUACCUGACGUAUCUGAGGUCGUCUUCGGCGUAUCAGACGGCUAAGGAGAAAGGGUUGGAGCUUUUGACGGAGGAGAUGGAAGGAGAGUUUGCUGGUUCGUGGAAGAAAGACGGAGAAGAGAAGAAAGUUGUUAGGUUUCCGAUCUAUUUGUUGAUCGGUAGAGUCGGAGGAGAUCGUUUAUGAAGAUUGUGUCCUCUCGCUUUGAUGAAUUGUAAAACAGUGUUCCAAACACUUGUAGAAACUUGAUGUAUCUCUCUCUUACUUGAAUACUUAUUUUAAAAAUUAAUAAAAUAAGUGGGACCAUGAGUUAGGACAAGUCGACUUUAAUUGAGAGACCAUGUUUUGUAGCUCCAGCUUCCUCGGGGUUCGAUUCUUUCGCUAAGCCAAACGAUAUGUUUGUCCUCUUUCUCUCUGAACGCACGCGCAAUAUUUAAUUAUCUAUGGUUAAAUAUGAAGUAACUUAGAGCAUAUAUAUCACGGGAUUAAGAGACGUUCAUGACACAGUUUUUAAGACAAAAAAGUUUAUGUAACAUCCCGAUCCGUCCUCUCUUUAGGAACCGAACGCGGACUGGUGAUAUCAAUUCUAACUCCCCCCAACCGCCCCUCCCAGUGAGCCCAACGCCUUCUCUAGGCACGUGGGCCCAUCGUUGGCCCAACGCCCUCUCUAGGCCCAUUAGCCCACCACUGUCCGACGGUCGGGAGUCGUUAGUUCGGAAGGCUCAUAAGACUUGUCUACUGUCUCUGCAAUCACCACAUAAUCUUUCUCCGUUCUUUAUCCUCACUCGCACGAUACCGCAUAGUAUUUCCCGGUAGGUCACCCAUUCUGAGAGAAGUCUCAGCACACUUGACCGGAAAAGAUAAGUGCACUUUGUUGACAUAGGUAGUCAAAUCAAUUCUUAUAAGCUUUUUCACAUAUACUGGAAAUCGGGAUGUUACAGCUUAGUAUUGAAGAGACAGUAUCAUCCCGACGAACCUGAAGAGACAGUAUCAUCCCGAAAUGGAGCAUCUUGAUUGGUCGAAAAUUAUAAUUUUUGAAUUAAAAUAAAAAAGAAAAACUAAAACCAAAAAAAAUAUAUUAUUAUAUUAUGGUGAACCCUUUUUAUAUUUAGACCAUCCACAACCCUGAAUCCCAUCAUGGGGUUCAUCAGCGUAUUUUAAUAAUUUUUGGAAGAGAGAGAAUAUGGAAAAACCUUGGGUGAACCUGGGGUGAAAAAAGGGUGUCCAACCCUGAUACCCAUUUUGGGGUUCAACAAAAUAAAAUAAUAUUUUUUUUAACUAUUUUAAACAUUUAAAUAAAAUAAAAUGAAAAGAGUGAAAAUUGAGAAAACCAAAGGUAGAGGUUCUUAAAUUGAGAAAACAGAAGUGAAAAUAAAACUAGUAAUCUUCUAGAUGUCCAAAUUUAUGCCAAAGGUAGAGGGUAUUUUUUCUAAGCAGUAGCGUGCUCUAGAGUACAUUCUCGUGCUUUUCAUCGAAACCCGCAUUGUCUUCUUUGUAUAGCUUCGCUUUGGCUUCAUCAAAGUAGUCCCCUCCACCUAUUUCGGGGUUUGUCAGCAUCUCAUGAAGAUUAAUGAACAUCUUAUGGAUGGUGUGACUAGGCGAGAAGUAGUCCGUUGUCAGCAUCCUUAGGAAGAUAUGACCACGAUCUCCUACAUUGGGAUGAAAGAUUUUGGUUCUGAAGGAGACCUGCAGAAAAUAAAUAUUCAGCAAGCGAUUACUACAAAACCCUGAACCGUUUAAGGCGUCAUACCUUUGGUGGCUUGAACGGGUAUUCCGGAGGAAAGUCUAUGCUGAUUUUGAAGACUCCGUUUUCGUACGGCGAUCCUGCUGGUCCGAACAGCUCACCCUCCCAAUAAAACAGCUUUCCAUCUACGGGACCUGCCUUGUAGAGCGGGCUCUUAACCCUCGCAAUCUCUUUUUUCUGCUUGGUUAUGGUUCUCGCCCAGUACGGGCCAUCCUCAUAACUUUGCAUACUCUGUCCAUAGUAAACGAUUUGAUCAUUUGAGUUACAUAAAUAUCCGAACCAAAUGAGAAAAACAAAACUUGAAAACAAACCUAAACUCAUGUAACUGCUUAAACCUAAUCAUUCGAUAUAACCAGAACACGAUUACAAUACGAUGUCCCUAAACAUUCGAUACUCCUAAACACACAAUGAACCAUUUCAACCUAAACAUUUGAUAUGACCUAAACAUUCAAUACUUGAAAACACACAAUGAACCAUUUCAACUCACACAAGCGAUUCACACAAGCGAUCAACAAUUCGAUUAACUCACACAAGCGAUUAACUUACACAAUUCGAUUAACUAACACAAGCGAUUAACUCACACAAGCGAUUAACUCACACAAGCGAACCAAAAUUUAUAAAAGCCCCAAGCGAAUUAGAAGCCAAUUGCAAUCCCAAAUGAAAGCCCCAAAAUUUAUAAACAUUUUCGAAAACCCUAAAUUCAAAACAUCAAAUUUUAAAACCCUAAUACGCGAAAUCCGGAAACCGAUUGAAUAUAAAAACAAUGAAUCGCAAACAACCCUAAACCCUAAACCUAAAAGCCCCCAAAAAAACUUUCCGAAGAACCCUAAUUUUCCCCCAAUUUUGAAAACCCUAAAUUUUCCCCCAAUUUUGAAAACCCCAAUUUUCCCCCAAUUUUAAAAGACUUCUAAAGGAUAUAAACGACUUACCAUACUGAUCGACCGAAGGGGAAACGACGAUUCACCGGAGAUUCAAUCGGAGGGGAAGAUUGGAUUCGAAGUCGCGAUUGUCGAGAGAGAAAAAGUUUCUCGAUGGAAGAAGAGAAAAAUGAAAAAUUGUCGACCAAAAUCGAUUUCCAACCAAAAAAAAAAUUCUCAACCACGGGCCAAUACGAACACGACAUAUGGCCGAUGAACCUUAAUGAUACGGGUUCAGCACACUGAUCUUGAAGAUACGGUAUCGUUCGAAUAUUGGAGUUCAACAAUUAAAAAAAACUAAAAAAAUUGCUUUGGGUUCUACGGAUGAACCCCAUCCAUACUGCGUUGUGGAUGGUCUUAGGGGUUCACUGAUGUACAUACUCUUAGUAGCAUUGCCACAACAUCAUUUUGAACCCUAACUUUUGACUAACAAAUUAACCAUUAUUUGUAAUGGGGGGAUUCGGGAUGAACCACACUAUACUAUAUUUAUAGACUAUGAUACCUUUGUUUUACUAAAAAAAUUACACAAAGAUUUUUGUUAGAGUUGGUAUGAUUUUGGAGUUUUAGUAACGAUUUCAACAUAAAUCUGGCGUGUUUAUUUGGGUGUAUAUCUUUGAUGUCAGUGAUGGACAAUAUCGAUGAUUUUAAAUGGGUUUGUUUCGUCGAUGUUAAAUCAUUUACAAAAAAAAUCUAGCGGAGGACGAGACUUAAAUGGUAAUGCUUUAAUUUUUUCGUUAUUCUAGGUUUUACCUCCCUAACAAUUUUUAACAUUGUCUAUUUCUUUGAUACCAAAAACAGUGCAACAAACGUAUCUCUCUAUUUAUCUACCUAUCAUGAUUUUGAUGAUGUUUUGAAGGAUGGAUUUUUCUGUCCAACAAAAUGACAAACAGUCAAAACGUUCACAACUUCAGAAUUUGGAAGAUAUCAUAAGCGGCCAUAUAUACAAAUGUGUGUAGUGUAUACUUGCGUGUGAAGGCUAAUGAAAAUCACAAGAACUUUCAAACCUAUAGCCAUAUGAAAUGUCAUACCCAAUGUCGACAUAUCGAUAUGUCCAAAACACCACUAUGAUUGGGGAGGUGGAAACAAUAAUUAAAAUACGAUAUUAUCUUGUUUUGAAACCUCCGGUUAACAAAAAAUUAAUUAAAUCUUGUUAUAAACUUUUAAAGUAGAAAAAUAAAGUAUUUAAAAAUGUAAUAUUUUUACUGUUUUAGUAAAAUAAAAAAAUUAAUUAAUUUAAGCUGAUUUAAAUAUACAAAAAAAUAAGUUUUGUUGUAAUUUAUGUAAGACUCAAGUCCAUACUAAACUUUAAAAUUUAUAACCGCUAUAUUAGAUUAUACAAUGGCCAAAUUAAUAAAAACAUAAAUGAGAAUGCAAUCAUUAACCUCGACCAAUAAUAAAAUGAUUACCAAAUGAUCAGCAUUUUAAUAUGUUUAUGCAUUUCUCUACGUCUACACUUAAUUAACUCUAUAUUCUUAACAAAAACAAAAUUCUGUAUUAAUGAAUCAAACAAGUAUAUCUGCUUUUUUCAGGCAUAAUUCGAGUUCGGGAAUCCUUAACGAAAGUUAUAAUCUCUCAUUUACCAUUAGGAGUACCAUUUGGAGUAUAUUUUAAUCAAUAGAAUCUCAUGAAAACUUCAUAAACUGAGCUGCUUCAGCUUAUAUCUGUCGUCCAAUAACCUUAAUAUAAGUUUUAGACAGCAUUUAUACUUCCGGCAGGGUUUUGAUUCUCUAGCACAAUCAUUCAUCUACGCGUUGCUAAUGAUAAAUUUAAUGCAAUAAUAAAGUCCGCUUACUAACCAACUAAUCCCUAAAAAAAAUCUUGUGCUGUUACGAAUAUUCUACGCCUCUAUGUGUGGUGAGGACUUGAGAAGCGGCGCAAAUGCCUUUUUUUUAUCUCACAAAAAUUCAACUGAGACUCGGCUUUUGUUGUGGACGUUAAUUUGUGGUGCAUGCAUCUUUCGUUUACUUCCUUCCAAUUUAGACUUCGGCGUAAUCUAUAACAAAUUUAAAAAUGUUAAUAAGAGUAAAAACUCUUCAAAAGUAAAUUAGAUUCCGCGUUGGAGAAUGGGGAGGGUCCAUUUUCCAUAGGCCACGGGUCGAGUGGAGGACAGUUGGUCGGCGCAUUUGCUUGGACAAUGCUUGUGGACAUUGUCCCUCCACUUUUUUUUUCUUUUUUUGUUCUUUCCUUCUUUUUAUCUUUAAUCUGAAGAAUCAAAAUAAAAAUCAAAGAAGAAUUAAUUGAAUCAAUGAAAUGUUGCUUGGUUUGCACUGAGAACUUCUGUAGUUAUUGAUUAAUACAAACAUCGUUAGCAUAUGUAAUUUCUUGGUGGCUGAAUAGAUGUAUAGUUAGAUUAGUUAAGAAAAGAAAAUAUCAUGUAAUUAGAAGUUUAGAACAUUGAUCAACAUGUCAAGUGCAUGCAUAAUAGUUUAUAGUUGAACCCAACACACUGCCUCGCAUAAAACGGAGGUGCCAAUUGCCCAUUCACAAGUAUAUAAAAAAAGAACCCCAAAGAAGUGAAACUCCAUUCAGUUUGAAAUCUCGAUGAGGUUUCAUUAGUAAAACAAAACAAAAGAAAAGAUAACGCAUACUUAAUAUUUGGAGAUAAAGAGCUAAUCCGUAUGUUUAGAAGAAUCCGAGUCUUCUCCUCCAUAUCUUUAUUGUUGGCUAUUUUGCUAACCACCGUAAAUACAUUAUAUUAAAAGACUAUCCGUGUUAACUCAACGUGUUAACAACCUCUUAACAAUUGAAUCAACUAAUUGUUCAAGUUUUCAAGACGUUGAAUGUAUAUCAAAUUUAUGAGAUGAUAAAGUAAAGUUCUUGCUCAAAUGAGUUUUAAAUAACCGAUAUUAAAGAGACAUCUGGUUUUUUAAACCGGCGGUAAACAAAUUUAAGUGCUUGACGUGACGAAAUUAAUACCCACCGCAAAAUAGAAAAAUUACAGUACCACUUAUAUAAAAUAAUUUGUAUAUAAAAAAAAAAAAAGUGCAUGGCGAUGUCAUUAUCAUCAAUCAAAACAUGAUUAUUACAUGAAUCAAAUGAUAUGAUGAUUCAUCUCGCAGGAGCCUGAAGCUCCAUCAUGCGUGAAAAGUCCUCGAAGCAAACAAAACCGUCUCCGUUCCUACCAACGGUCGCUAUCAUACGCCGACACUCAUCUAUCGUGCACCUCUCGUCUCCGAUGACUCCAAACACUCUGUAUAGCUCCUCCGCCGAUAUUUUCCCGUCGCGAUCCGCGUCGAAAAACUCAAACACCUCCCUCAUCUCCUCCGUCUCGACGGAUCCUUCACCGGAGGAAGAUCCGGCGACGCGGCUAGCAAGCUCUUCGAGACUGAUACAACCGCUUUCUUCUCCUCCGUCGACUUCUCUGAGCAUCAGACUCACUUCCUCUUGACUCGGCGGGUCAGGACUCAGCCUGCUAAGCAGCGCCGCUAGAUCUCCCCUCGAAACGACACCGUCGUCGUCGCGAUCGAUCAAUUUGAACGCCUGAAUCAAAUCAGAGUAAAAAUCGCGAUCUCCUGAGAUCUGGGACCAAUCGCCGGAGUUUUCGGGGAGAACACUGACUGGAGUGGCGGCGGGACCUGGCUUGAGAUUAGCGUAAGAUCCGUCGGAGGAGGAAGAGGAAGAAGCGCCGGAGCUGAAGGAGGAAGGUUCGGAUCUGGAGACGGAAGCUUUGGAUUUGGAUCGGAAGAGACGUUUGGGGCUCAGGCGGUUGAGGCUUGCGGCGAGCUUCAUAGCUACGAGGAAAUCGGAGAAGAUAAGAGAGAGAGAUAGAAAGAGGAGAAGAGAUUUGGUUUUUGUUUCUUCUGGUUUGAGAGGAAAGAGCGAGGAAGGAAGGUCUUAAAUGGGGAGAGAAAGAGGGAAGCCAUGGCAGCUUCCGCGAAGCUUCGUGGAGAGAGUGCUUUCGUGUUUAUUUUGAUUGAUACUUAUACUUCUCUCUUUUCAUUUCACUUCAUUCAUUUCCCAUUUUUCUUCUUUUUUUUUUUUUUUCUUGGAAUCUCUUAUUAUCUAUUUAUUUCUAUGAUUAGUUGAUUACAUUUAUUACUACUACGACUAUCGAAAAUGUAUAAUUUAUUUAUUCUUUGUAUAUAUAUAUUGUAUAGUUGCUUUUUCUUCGACGUACAUAUGCAACGUAUCUACUGGUUGUGGAAACAAAGGUAUGUCUAAAGAGUUGAGUAAAGAAACAAAAAUGUAAUUGUCUGUUUACAUGGGAUUUUGUUUUGUGUUUCGACUUUGGAUUCGAUUCAUAAUUAUGUUCUGACAUCGUCAUAACACAUGCAGGUGCAGUGGUCGUCGAGUCAUGAUUCAUGACCUAAUUUUUCUUACUUGUUUAUUGUUUAAUUGGUGGAGAAUUACGAGAAUGUUUUUUUUAAGGGAUUUAUUUCGUGUUUUUUUAUUAGCGAGCUAACGUAAAGAUUAGUUCAGACUCUUUUCCAUGACACGCGAAAGAAAAUCAGUAAGAAUAAAGGCUAUUUGUGAUUUUUUAUCUACCAAUACUUUAAUAGUAUUUCUAAAAAGCCUAUGCCAUUGCUGUGUAGUUUCUUAACAUUUGCAUGAGAGACACUUCAAAACAAUAAAUAUAAUAAUAUUUGAUGACUAUAACCUUCCCUACUUUUAGUGCUAAACAUCGGCGUGGCCAAACGCGUUGUGUGUGUGUUUGUUUCUGUUAACGGAUUUAUGAACCAAAAAGUUUCGAUAGCAUUUUCAAUAUAUAAUUCAAUAGUUUCGGCUAUAUAAAAAUUUUAAAAAUUCUCUACAGAACGUCAGACGCACUACUUGGUACGGCCGACUCUGGUCUUAAAAAAUAAUUAGUGUGUAGAAGAACUGAUUACAAAAGUUGAUAUAACCGAAUAGCUUUAACUUUAUCUCUUGCAUUCGAAGAUAUUAUAAAAUUGCAGUAAUCAUUCUAGAAUUAUACGAAGCAAAGUCAUUAGUUUUUGUUUGUUUGUUUGUUGGCUUCUCAGUACCUGAAGAAACUUUCACAAAGCUAAUUAAGUGUACUUUUAUGGAAUCAAAGGACUGAUCACAGUUCACAAAUGAGAAUGCCCCCAAAGACCAAAACACUAAAACAGAGCACAUCACUAGUGGUCAUAAGAACAACUUCGUCACCAACCUCAAAUCUCAAUAUUCCAGGAGUCAUCAGCUUAGCAAUUAGCACCAAAAUCCCUGGAGUCACUAACAGACCCAAAUGAACACACAUAGUCCUGGUCAGAGUCAGAGCUUGAAGUUGACCUUUUACGAUAGUAUGGGCUUCCGUUAAACCAUAACGGGCUUAGAAUUUAGUUGUGUAAUAGCCCAUAUGGGCGACUAAAAGUAUCAGAUACAAGAUCCGAUGCCGAAUCUGAUCCAUGUGUUCUGAAAAUUAUAUGAUAUUAGGAAUUUUAGAUCUCGUUUCUGUUCUGAAUACUGUCAUUUGUCAUAUGGUAAUUUUAGAAACAAAGCCUAAAUCGACAAGUGUCUUUAAGUUGAUCAACGGUAGAUAAAAGUUAGAGUAUGGAGAUUACAGAAUCACAUAAAAAUAAAGAAUAUAUCAUACUAAAAGCAUCUUCUUUCGAGUUCAAUUUUCUUUUGGGGUAAUCUAAAAACCGGUUCAUGCAAAAAUGGAAUUCAGAUAAGGCCGGUUAUAUCCUACAUAUAUCCUCUUAGACUGUAGCAUACAAUUUUAAGUUGUCUAACUCUAAUGUCUAUGCUUAAAUAUGAAGAAAAUAUAGCUCAUAUUCACUGGUAUUUUCGAGAACUGCCGUUUAAAAUAUGGAAAUUUGUAACAUUCGACUGAAUCGAUUUGGAAUGUUUCCAUAAAUAAAUAAAAUGAUUAGGAAAUCACAUUGUUAUAGUAGUUAAGAACACCCUGCCUUAUUCUUCUAGUUGCUUCUAGACGGAGUUUUAAAGUCAAAGCGUCAAAGGCAGAUUCAAGACUUUUCAGACCCUAACCAAUCCAGACUUGUUCGUCAAGUAAAACUCAUAGAACUCCAAUUUCAAAAACCCCUCUGAACCCUUUUCCAUAAUUUCUAUAUAUAUAAGGGAACACGAGAAACAUUAAUAUUCGUUAAGUAAGUUGUUUGAGUUGUCGAUAAAAAAUCCAAUGUCGGGUCUUCUUCAGUUCAAUUUUUUCCCAACCGAUUUCUAUUAUCCGAAGCCAAGUCGAGUAGAAAGUGUCGACAAGGCCAAAAGUUGUGUUCAAUCAGUGUCGACACACGGAUUCAAGAAAGAGAAGGCGAUUGUUGUUAGAGAAAAUAACCAAAGUGGUUUGAUUCUUUAUGUCAACGGCGAAACAAAACGGUUCUGUGCUGCUUCUACGUUCCUUGAGUAUUCUUCUAAGAAUUGUGACUCUACCACCAAUUAGGCCUUUUCCUUUUAGUUUUGACUGUUUUGGAUGUUAUGCUGUUUGGAUUUCUAUAUAAAAUAGUUUUUUUCUUUAUUCUGUUUUUAGUUUGUGAUUAUCAUACACCAUUGCUAAUGAAUUCUAUACUCUUUGUUCGCGCAUGAUUUUGUCAUCAAUUUUUUUUUCUAGAGUUUAUGACGGCUUAAACAUUAUUAUGCCUUUGCUAGAAGUUCGACUCGACUAGAUAUAGCAAAAAAACUUCGUUCAUCUUAACAAUGUAUAAACCUCUUCACAGUAAUAUUAAUUUGUAUAUAACCUUCUUUGAUUACUUCGUUUAUUGAUUGGUUGCAUUUAUCAGUUUGUUCCCUCUGAUAUCAGUUGGUUGUUCUCCACGAUUAACACCAUUAUCUAACAGCAUCAAUGGAACCAACCCAUGUGGCCAUGUGGGUUUGGUUUGCAGACAAUGUGGUCAGUGGAAAUUUCCACGCGAAACGAAUCUACUUUUUUUUUCAAUGAUAAUCUCAAAUUAAAUCUAAUACCAGUCUAUAAACUGUUCUCAAUAAAAGCAUUGAGAUAUGAUUAUCUGAAUUAUUUGAACACACAUUCACCACCAAUUUUUACAAAUCCCAUUAAUCAAAUCCAAACGAGCCAGAACGUCGAUAGACAAAUAGGUUAUUUAUGAACCGAAGAACAUAAAACAUAAACGAAAGAGAAUAGACAAGAGAUCCUCUGCAAUCCAUUUUUUUCAAUGCCCACAACAAAUCAAUUUUAAAUUUCUAGUGUUGCCAAACGCUCCCUCUUGCAAUUAAAUCAGCAGCUCUGAGCAGAUACUUCAAUCAGAAGCAAGCAUCCAAGAGACAGCAACAACAGAGAGCAGCAAGACUGCAAAACAAAAACAUCGUUCACAUUCUUAGCCGAUACCAAAAACUUGUACAAGUGUAGAUUCAACACUUUAUAACACUCUCAAGGCAGGAACACAAUCACAAAUCCAAUUCGUAUGGAUAUGCAAUGUAGCAACCAGUAGUAGUAGUUCAAUUGUUAUGAUGCGAAUCCACUAGAUGCAAGCAUGUUCAUUCUAAAAAGAUGCAAAUCCACAUUCUUUAGUAAGGCAAUGACAGAACAAAAACCAAUCAUUAAGUAUUUCACAGUCAAUAAGGUAUAAUCAUCAAAGAGAGAUCAGAAAAAAGGAUGAAAAGUCAAGCCCUAUAGAGGAAUAUUCUAGCUGUAGCACAUGACUUUUCAAAGUAUCUGUAAUUGAAUAUUCAAACACCGGAAAAUAGUCAAAUUAAGUCUAACAUUAGAUCCACACGAAACUCACAGGAUAACAAAAUUUUAUGAAAUCGAGUCUAUCGACUGACUUACCAUCCUUCUAGAAACCCAGGGCUGUUCUGUUGUUGCUGAUGCUGCGGUGGCGGAGGAUAUUGCGGCGCAUACGGCGGAGGAUAUCCUUGCUGAGGAUAACCCUGCGGUGGGUAGCCUUGCUGCGGAUAUCCCGGAGGAGGAUAUCCUUGCGGUGGAUAAGCAUCCUUUGGAUAUCCCUCCGGCGGAUAACCUUUAAUUUCCGAUCAUAUAACAUGCAAUGAUUCAGAUCAACCGCAAAAUUCAGCACAUAGCUAACCAGAUCUAAGAAAUACGAAUCGAAACUCGGAGAUUCAAAAUUGCGAGAAAACUAACCUUGAGGAGGAGGAACACCGACGGGAGGUUGAUUGUACUGACUCAUUGCUGUUUGUUUUUGGGAUCUCCUGCGAAACGUGAAACUCGAGAAGAGAACGACGAAGACGAAAGGAGAUCACGCAGAGUGCAAAACUUAGAUCCAGAAACUGAUAUAUCGAAGUUAUAGCGAUAGAGAUGGGUAGAGAAAGAAAAGGAAAAGAGGAGAGUGUUUUAAGUAAAACGCGUUUUUGCAGUUAUUAUUUAUGUAUCUUUUUUAGCUUUUAUUAUCCAAAACUCAUCGUUCAAUACGAUGAAACCACCAGAAAAAAAAAAAGUAUAUAUAUUUAACUAACAAAACAAGAUUCACGCGGAUUUCUGCCCUUUGCAGAUAUAUAUUCUGUUUGUUUUUAAUUCCAUAUAAAAAAAACAAUUUUUUUUUUCAUUGGUUGUUUAUCUUAUUAAGUUGAUCUACAACACCUUAUUAUCUUGUUUACAAAAAUUAGAACACUACUGAGAUGAUUUUUUUUGUUUGGCGUGUUAGUUAACUAAAUGUAAACACUAAUCAGUAUGAUAAUAAAUAGAACAAUGGUCUAUAUAUAUUAUAUACUCUCACUUCAUAAUAGAGUAAAUCUAAUUAAUAUUAAUGGAGUUGACUCAUUUAUUAGAACUCUAUCAUUUCAAGGUAUUUUUGACACACAGUUUAAGAAAAAAAUUGUAUAGAAUACCACACUAUUUAGUAUUUAGCCAAGCAAAUUGUAUAGCUCGUAUUUAUACAAAUCCAACUCAAAGUUUAAUUGAUAGAGAAAAUUAACACCGCCAAAACCAAUUGGAAAAGUCCAUUUGAGCACCCUAUGGAUAUGUCAUAAUAGAGAUCAAAAACAAAACCAGAACACAUUUAGUCUCCUUGAAACUGAACCACACAUUGUGAAGCUAGCAUUGUCCCGGAGUCAGCCCGUCAACGACUUUGUUGUUAUCCUUGAGCAACUUCAUAUACUAGCUUUGAGCUACUCCUAAUCAGAAAACUGAUACCAAAAUAAAGAAAAAUAAAUCAACAGAUUCAAUUCAGUUCUACUAUAUCAACAAAGAUAUAUAAUUAUUUUGAUAAUCCUAGUUGUUUUAGACCUUAGCGACCUUUCCCGACCCUUGUCAAGGUCAUAAGAUUUGGUUCUCCAUUUGGUCACAGAUUUGAUUAGUUAGUCACAAGAUAUCUUACAAAAAAGGCAUAUUUUAGACAUUAAGACGAAGAUAAAUGGUAAAAUCUACUUUUAAUAAGUGUUUGGCAAAAAAAAAAAUUUCGCCCGCUGAUAUACGAAUUUUUGAACUAUAAUACUAAUACAAGUAGUAGAAGUUUACUACCUGUAAUCCUAGAUCUAGAUGCAACUAGCAAAUGCUAACAAACUCACAUUUGUGAGUUCAAUCUUAAAAACAAUGAUAAAAAAGGAAGAACUUUCUCCAGUUCAGAUCAUCAAGAUAAAUCCCUGUAUAAUAAGAUGAAAGUUGAAAGAUUUCAUUAAAAUAUGUAGGAAACUCAUUUUCACCUAUUGACACACUCACAAAACAUGGCAGAUCCCACACUAAUCAGAUCAAGCUACAUCCCACGAUAACAUAAUUAUUGAAUGUUACAACUUACUAGUGAUUCGUCCAAUUGUUACUAGUGAUCUUAAGACCCCACCUACAUGCAUUUACUGUUCUCUUAUGUAAUCUCCUCUUGGUUUAAUAUUUUUGUUCUGGCAUCUUUUAUCUAUCACAAAACUGGAUUGAGAAUUUGAUUGUUGAUCGUUUUAAGCAGUGAGGUUCACAGUAUCUGGAGAAGAUUAACUAAAUCACAAAUAUGAACAGAUUGAUGCUAAAGAUAAAAACACAAACAAUCAUGUAUCAUGGGCGGUUUCUGGCCUAUUUGUAAAUAAUGGGCCUAAAUAUAUUGGAUUAGUUUCCUACCUUAUCCUCUUCGACCGGAUUUAAGAUAUAUAUAUUUUUAAAAGAGAAUAAUAAUUUACUUGGUACGAGUCGCCAACGGAUUGGAACGGAAGGAAAGUCAAAUAAAGCCAACAGUAACGCGUCUACACGUGGACGGCGGAUUACUCAAAACCAUGUUAGGUGCGGGUCCAGACCUACCCACUUGUUUCUCACAUAUUUGAUUUAACGAACCUGAGGUUCGUCUCCGAGCCUUACUUUAUAUAAUUACUACUCUUCCCCUCAUCUUUCUCGCAUCGUGUUUGAUCCUAAUCCGUUUUCGCUUUUGUCAAAGAGAAGAAGAAGAAAAAUAUCAAACUUUGAGCGAGAGUUGCAGGUAUUUUCUCGGCCAAGGUAAAAAGAUCUGCUGCUAUCUUUGUCUUCUUGUACUCGAUCGAAAUUUCUCAAGGCGAUUAUCCGAUGGUUUUGUUUAUCUUCAUAGUUCGGCGAUUUUGAUGGUUCCGUAUUGUUUCCUGGAAAGUUUUUUUUUAAAAGUAUGAAGAAAUCAAGUGAUUAUACUAUCUUCAGAUUUGUGAUCUGUGUGGUGAUCUUCGAUCUAGCUAAUAGUUGUUCGGAUUUCACUUCUUUUGACCUCCGUAGUAAGUGCGAUACUAAGUCUUCAAAUUGUUAAAUUUUCAGAUCAGCUUCACCUGAUUUAUAUCGUGCCGAUCGAAAAAUUGUAGUUACUUAGCUAAAUAACUUUGAUCGUAGUAUUGGGCGGUUUUGAUUGAUUGAUUGCUUCGUUUUCAGAUCUGAAACUGAAUAAUCAUCUGGAAAAUAUGCGUGCAAAGAUGUCAACUUUUUGAUCUGAUCUCAUCAUCUCACUGAUAUCCACUUUUUGUUUGUCAUCCUGUUUGUGUGCGCAGAGUUAAAGAAAUGGCGAUGGUUUCAGGAAGACGUUCUACUCUAAACCCUGAUGCACCCCUUUUUGUUCCGGCAGCUGUUAGACAGGUGGAAGAUUUCUCGCCGGAAUGGUGGCAAUUGGUGACAACCUCGACUUGGUACCAUGACUACUGGAUCAGCCAGCACCAAGGCCCUGACGGUUUCUACGACAACGGAGAGAACGAGAAUCGUGGUGGCGAGGUUGAUGUAGCUGAUCUUCUUCCAGAGUCAUUUGAUUUCGAUGACAUGGAAGAUUUCUUCGACAUUGAUGCUGCUGAGUUUGAUCAUGGAUACGGUGGACAAAUCUACCACGCACCUUCCGACUUUGGUUAGUCGGUUUGAUUCUCCAUAAGACAAAACAAAUCCAGUUAGGAUUAAACAGAGCUGGAGAGUAAUUAAGUUCUUGAUUUGUCGUUGUGAUCAUCAGGUUUAGGGAAGAAUGGUGAGAUGGUUAGGAUAAAAAGUGGAAACAGGAGCCCUAAAACAGUUGCAGAUCCAGCAAAGUAUGCAGAAAAGCCAGCGAAAUGGGGAAACCAGAGGGUUGCUCCUAGAAACAUCCACCAGCCUCGUUGAAGAAGAGAUGGGUGUUAACUAGUCAGAGUCGUUGUUUCUUUAGCCACUGUACCUUUUGUAAUUUUUAGUUAUUUGCUUCCACAAGAACCUGUAACUUUGUACCUUAUGAUUUUCUCAACUUGUUAAUCACAAAAAUGUAAAAACAUAAAAAAUGUAAAAUUUGAAGAGAUAUGAGAUGAGAAUCUUUUCAUUAAUGCUUCUUCUUGCUUAUUAGCUAGAACAGAUGGUUAAACUGCAUCGGCGAUGGCUACAAGAAGCAGUUGCAUCAAUGUUGCUUUGGCUUGAAGUCGCAGAGAAAGCGAAACUCAAAUGUAGAUGCUUUUCACGUCUCAGCUACUUUUUAGUUGCCCAGAUCAGAUGUUUCUGUUCUUUACAGUUGGUGGCUACGAAAAGGAUGUCGAUUACAUCAUAUUCAUCUCAUUUAGAUUCAAUCUUAUCGACGUUAGGUACAGAUGCAAAAAGGUCAGGAGACUUGUCAUAUGCAGACAAUGUCAUCCACACCAAGCUCAUCUUCAGAUUCGGUUCUGAGAUACCCUCCAACAAGAACAUUUUCGGAAUUUUAACCUUAAAUUAGUAAACUGCCAGAGAAAAAGUGAGACUUUCUUCGGUCUUGGGUUUAUAUCGGUUGAUGCGAAAGCUCUCGUCUUGAAGCUUCGGUUUUUACCCCCACAAGUCUCGUCUUGGAGCCAUGACAUUUAGGAUUUGUGAUGAAUAUAAUUCUCAGACAACAAACUGGGUUCUAGAUUUGUUUAUGCUAGCUUUUCCCUUGUUUUGGUGCUUUGGCUCUGUUCUCAUUUCUCAUCUCCCUCUGUUUCUAUCAGUUUCUGGUCUCUCCCUUUCUCCCUCUCUCUUCUUUAAAACUUUAAAUUGGUUCUUGCUUCCUUAGAAAAUCCUUUGACAAACGAAAGAAAAUGACGAGAAAAUGAAGCGCCUAAACCCGGAAUUUUUUCGAAGAAGAGCCCUAUAUAUUAAUAACGUAAAUGCCCUUCGAUAAACGUAUUUAUUUAUAGUCUCGAAUGUUGUUUCAUUUCGUCCUAUAUUUACUGUUGUCCUGAAAAGUUUUGUUUUCUUAAAAUCCCGCUCUAAAAUUAUCAUGGCGCCAAAGAGAGCACCGCCGAUUCAAUCUACUCUCUACUCUAUCGGUAAGAAUCCGGAAGACUCGAUUUUUCCGAUACUCUGCUCCAAUUGAAUGAGUCUUCGAUGUUCUGAUUAAAUUCUCCAGGUGAUUACGAGGUCGCUGUGGAUGGUAAGAAGUUUACAUGUGAAUCCGGACCUAAAAGCAUUCAGAUCAACUUUUCCAGAAACAACAGAGUGAAAAUCUCAGGUUUGUAGCAUUUGGGUUCUUGCGCCUUAGUAUUUGUGGUGGUAAUGUUGUUUAACUACGAAUUUCUGAAUCUGGAAACAAUCUCUUCAAAAUGGUUCUCUUUUCUUGUGCAGAGAAGGAUAGAAUCGUUUCUGCUUAUCCGAAAGAACACAUGUUUCUUCUUCUUAAUCCUCGAGAUGAAGAUGAUUUUACCAAAUCUCAUCUUCAGGUAAGUAGACUCUGACCAAAUCACUCGAAAGUUGAUUUUUUUGUUUUUUUCAUCGCUCAUAAGGAUUUGUAAUUUGAUCAAUUCAGGAAGUGCUCAAGUUAUAUAGUAAAGAGCUACCUGACAUGAAAUACGCUUCAAACACUGGGAAGCAAUCUGCAUUCCUUGAGACAUGCGUCUCCAAAGGGUAAUUAUUCUGCACUUAAAGAGUCUCUCUUUUAUCAUAGAAAGUCUUUACUUGUUCUAUCAUGAAAACUUCCUUUGGCCCAUUUUAAUGCUUUAUUUGAAAUAUUGUCCAAUCUUGCAGCAAGUAUUGUUCGUUGGUUUUGAAGUCCACGCUUAGCGGAGUCUCAGAUGAGGUAAACAAGGUUUAGUUAUAUGCUCUGACCUUUGAUCAAAAGCAGCCUAGACCCUGGAUGAAUUUUGAAUAUUUAUGUACAUGAAGGCUAUAUUUUUUUGAUUGAAGUUUUAUAUUCACUAACAGAUGAUGCUUGUAGUUUGUCUGCUUUACUGCAACUGUAAUACUGAUUAUUGGUAUGUGCUUUUUUGUAGAUCUUAGCUGCAAUCACCUAUCAAAUAGUCCCUGCUGAUACACAGUAUGCUGAGAUACCUCUUGCUGCUGUAACAUAUACACACCAGAAAAAGGUUCGUUUUGUCUCUGACUCAUUGACACUUACUCUUGUAGGGUCGUCAUUGAAACUCCUACUGUCUUACACUUUUCUCCUUUCUGCAACUGGUUUGACUAAAGAUAGAUUGCUAGGAACUUCAUCAAAAACUAAAUAGUUUGGUCUUUAUGAAUACAUUAUUUUCAGGGUUUUGGUAAACUCGUCUAUGAAGAACUAAUGAAGAGGCUUCAUAGUGUUGGCAUUCGAACUAUAUACUGUUGGGCAGACAAAGAAUCUGAAGGAUUCUGGCUUAAACAGGUGAGUAUGAUUUAUUGUUCUUGGAGUUUUUAUCUAUAUAGUUUGUUGGAUUCUAACUAAACUACAUUUGAAGUAGCUAGCCUGAUCGGUUUCUUGCGACUCUUUACGAAUACUUCAGGGAUUUAUAACACUAGCAGAGGUAGACCAGAAAGGCAAAGCAAGGAGGUUACACAUAAAGUCUAAUAUUCGAAAAGCAUUGUGUUUUCCCGGCGGUUCAACUCUCAUGGUCUCUCAUCUGAAUAAGGAAUCUUCUCUGAAUCUUGCAAACCUAGAGAUUGCUUCUUCACGGAAAUACCAGUGUCAGGGAUCUCCACUCUCAGCCACAAAUAAUUGCUCAGGUCCUGUGGCUGGAGAUUCAGCUAAACUUGGUGAGAGUUUUAGUGAAAGCGUAUAUGUUGACUGUAAGUCCCUUUAAAUAUUCUCAGAGUCAAGAUACUUAUUUUCUUUCCAAUUGUUUUCAUCAAGCACUCGAAGAGAAUUUGGCUAUAAAUAAAUGAAGUAAUUUGCGUAUGUUUCUUUUGUGUAGUGCCACAUCACAAAGCAUUUUCACUUAUUUAAGAAUAAUCAUACAUUUCUGUUACCAUGUGCCAUACACAGGUCUCUCUGGUAGCAGAAGUCUAAUGGAGUCGAUAACAGGAAAGGAACAAAAUAACGUGAUCUCUGAUCAAGCUACCACAGCUGACAGUGAGACCAAAUGCUCCACACCGGGCUUGAAGAGAUCUUGGGAAGCUUCACUGUCUUCUCUACAAUCCAAAAGGGUUAGGGCAAACCGCAAUAAUGAGACUGAGAUAGCUAAAAAUGAUUUGGCCAUAAACUCUGCAAGAGAGCAGAAGCAAUCGAAAGACGGUUCUUCCUCACAAGUGGAUUUAACCAAGAAUCCUCUGCCCAAAAGAAACAAUGGUGAAGAAUACAGAACGGUGACUGGGAUGUCUGACUCUCUGAUCAACAUGGAAGCUCCUCCAAAUGGACAAAACUAUAGAAUCUUGUUGAUGGACAUUGGGGAUGAAAACAAGAGAGCCUGGUUAACAGAGGUAUAUGUUUAUUUCUAAGUCAUGUGUAUCACAGAUGUGUUUUCUAUUCACCUUAUGUUGUCUUGUGGUUUCUAUUGUAGGUAAUAAGAAAACUAGGUGGGGAUGUGACCUUGGAUGGCAACAUGAGCACACAUAUUGUCACCGGAAAAGUCAGGAAAACGCUUAAUUUCUGCACUGCUCUUUGCUCUGGGUUAGUCUCAAAUUUAUGGGCAUCAUGUUGACUGUUGCGAAAUUAUGUGCUAAUCUUAAGUAUAAACCAUUUUAUGUUGCAUCAUACUUGCUUGCAGGGCUUGGAUCGUAUCACCAAGUUGGUUAAAAGAAAGCUUUCGACAAGGCAGAUUUGCUAGUAAGAUGAGAAAAAAAAACAUCCCAUGAAUUUAUAUAUCUAUCUGAUGUUAAUUGUUACUCUCAAGCUCUCUGAAUUCUAUUGCUGACACUAUCUUCCUUUUUUUUUGAAACCGAAUUAAUAGAUGAAGCUUCGCACAUAUUGCACGAUGAAGAAUACCAGUUGAAAUAUGAAACCGAUCUGAAGAGCACAGUUCUUAGAGCAAAAGCUAGACCAAACUCGUUGCUUCAAGGAUAUGACAUAUGCGUUGGACCUCACGUUCAGUUGCCUAUUAAAACUUCAUCCGCUAUCAUAAAAUCUGCUGGUGGAAAUGUAAGUGCUAAAUUACAGAAUUUACAGGUUACUUCACCACAAGCUUAUACAUUUGAAUCCAAAACAUGUACUUUUUGCGGGGAAUUUUUCAGGUGAUUAGAGGAGUGGAUAAGGUAAAGGAGACAUCAAAAGCGAUAUACAUAGGGUGCGAAGAAGACACAGUGGAGGCUUUACGUGCAGCAAAGAAAAGGGUUUGGACAUUCAGUAGCGAAUGGUUAAUGAACUGUGUCAUGAAGCAACAACUUGACCUUCAAGUUUCUCAGUUUGUUGAGUCCUUGUGAUUCGAACUCGAGACCUCUCUCUUUUUAGCCUGAAAAUUUUCACUACCUAUCUUUUGCUCUUUUGUCUUUGGGUUUACAUGGAAAUCCACAGACUUUUGUCGAACCUGAGUGGCUAGCUAGGCUACUAAGCUCAAGUCGCCAAUCUAUUUAUGUAUAAAAAUAAAAUUCCGUGUUAUUUUUUUUCCCACAUUAAUUCUGUGUUCGUGCGUAUAUAGGUUUUUAAUACAUUUUCCUCUUCUACUAUUCUCCUAAUUUUGGUCUUUAACAUGCUAUUGAGCUAAUUUGAUAGCAAUUUAAGAUGCUAUCGAGCCUUCGAUUGGUAGAAGAAAUUAGCUUCCAGGAAACCUUUUCGAAUUUUACUUUUAGCUUUGGUAACUUACUCAUGAUACCACGUGGCUUUUAUUGAUUAGCCUAAAGAUGAUAAGUUUAGCAUUAAUUUUGCCCCCUUAAGUCAAACUCAUACUUAGAGAAGAAAUUGUGGAAACAGUAGAAAAACUUUAUAAUGGGCGUUACCACUUCUUCAGUUUUGGACUCAAACUAAAUGCCAUUUUCCUCGUUACUCUUUUCGGCAAUGUAUUAAAACAAAAACUAUCAGAAAGAGUUAUUCAAGGUCAAAACUCCUAAUUAAUAAAUUGCUACCAAAAUUUUCCCACCUCUCAUUUAAGUAUUUACUAAACCAACAUAUAUAUUGACUUUUCUUUGCUCUUAAAACCCAUAAAGUAACUUUCCGUUAUUUAACUAACGAACCUGAAGAUUCAAGAAAUAACAAGAAUGGCCAACUGACAAAAACGGCUCCAACUUUUCAUUUCAAAAACUCGUUUCAGUUUCAGCUUUCAAGUAUCGUCGUCUCCCUCACAACACCACACCUCUAUCUACGCGCCUGACGUUUCCUGUUGCAUUCUCACAUGGCGGUUCUCUACUCGUCGAAACCAACUUCGUCAUCAUCUUCCUCUGCCUCGCGGCUUUUCUUGCUAGUGACCCUUCUUCCUCUCUCCUUAGCCUGCUUCGCCUUCCUCCUCCAAUGGCGAGGCGAAAUCAACGACUCGGUUACGCAAUGGUUUACUGAUAACCAUCGAUUCCCCGGAAUGGCCACAUUCCCCGAGAAACGGUCUGAUUCGGGCUGCGUUUCUCUUCUGGGUCAGAGCCGUGCUCCAUCGUUUCCUUAUCUCCGGGAUUUGAAGCUUGAUUACAAGCCUGAUCUGAAACCAAGAGUUAGAGACUCUUGAUCCUGUUUUUUUGUCGCGUUUUUGAUUCUAAUCUGAUAUAUGAUAAAUAAAAAUCGGAUUUUUUUGUGUGUAGAUAUGUAUAACGACGAGCACAUCAGCAGGAUUAGAGCAGACACUGCCAUGGAUUUUCUAUCACAAGGUCAUUGGAGUUUCAACCUUUUAUCUUUUCGUUGAAGGCACUGCUGCUUCCCCUAAUGUGUCUCGAGUUUUGGAGUCCAUCCCUGUAAGCCUUUUUCUCCUGUUACAUCAUCGACUUCUUUUGAAUCCUUAUUUAUUAGUCUUCUUGUUUUUGUCAUUAUGUUCUAAUUUUUAUUUGCAGGGUGUAAACGUUAUAUACAGGACAAGAGAAUUAGAAGAAGAGCAAGCUAAAAGGUAUUCAUUCUUGUGUUUUGUGUUUGUUCAUUAAGUUACGGUUUUAGACCCAUGUAUAGCUAAAUAAAAAUGGUGGAUUUGAAGGAACCAACUCUGGUUAUUUAGACAUAUUGGGUUAACUGAUUUGUGUGCUCUUUUGUUUUCCUUGUCUACAUCUUGAUUUACCAAAAGUGGCCACCUUUAAAAUGGUUGUUAUUUCAGAAUCAUCACAAUUUUUUUUCUAAUUUCAGCCGGAUUUGGAAUGAGACUUGGUUGGAGAAAUUCUUCUACCAACCGUGUAAUUACGAGUUAUUCGUAAAACAAAACUUGAAUAUGGAAAUGGCUAUCAUCAUGGCUAGGGUACUUGUUACAUUCCCCUGUUUUUUGGCUGACACUUACAUUUAGUCAUAUUCACUAGUAAAAUAAAGUUACAUUUCCCAACAUUUUAUCUCUUCACAUUCUCUCAAUGUGCUUGGUAUAUAUAUAUUAGGAUGCAGGAAUGGAUUGGAUACUGCAUCUCGACACCGAUGAGCUUGUGCAUCCUUCUGGAGCACGUGACUAUUCGUUAAGAAAUUUGUUCAGAGAUGUUCCUGCUGAUGUGGACGCAGUUAUCUUUGCAAAUUACGUGAGCUCAACGAUUCUUAUAACACAUUUGAAUUGUUUUUUUCUUUCUUCUUUCUUCGGUUUCUUGUUGUGGAUAACUCGUGAAUAUUGUUCUUGUUUUUAGGAGAGCAGCGUUGAGCGAGAUGAUAUCAAAGAACCUUUCAGUGAGGUGUACAUAGCAUUAUCAUCUAGAACAAACUUGUCUUUGGUUUUUAACAUAUCCAAAAGUGUUUUUUUUUUCUUCUUCUUUUAACUUUUAGGUGUCAAUGUUCAAGAAGAAUUAUGAACAUCUUCCUAGAGAUGUUUACUUUGGAAGCUAUCACGAGGCGACUCGUGGCAAUCCAAACUAUUUUCUUACCUAUGCAAAUGGGAAAUCCGCUGCUCGGAUUCAAGACCAUCUUCGGCCUAAUGGUGCUCAUCGAUGGUAUAACUACGAGAAGAUCCCAAAGUAUGUUCUUGUUCUCACUUUGGCUUAGACAUAGACAUUCAUUCUCUUGCUUUUGGAAUAUGACAUUGAUCCUAUAUCUUUGUUGUGACAGUGCCAUUAAACUAGACGAAGCUGCGAUUCUGCACUACACUUACCCAAGAUUCUCAGAUCUUACUUCAAGACGUGAUCGAUGUGGCUGCAAACCAACUAGAAAGGAUGUCAAGAGAUGUUUCAUGCUAGAAUUUGACAGAGAGGUGAGUUUUGAUUUGGUUUUAUUUCUUCAAAUUGUAUAGCUUUUAUUCAUCACAUUUGUUUUCAUUUCUUGGCAGGCAUUCAUCAUUGCUUCAACUUCAACUUCAGAGGAAAUGCUUCAAUGGUAUAGAGAACGAGUUGUAUGGACUGACAAGAAAUUGAUCCUCAAACUUCUUAAAAAGGGAAUUCUGACUCGCAUCUAUGCACCAAUGGUCAGUUCAUAAUUCAAUAUUUUUUACACUUUCUAAGUGCUUUUGAUUUCACAAAGAUAUAAUCUUUCUCAGGUUAUAAUCCAAGAGCUAAGAGAAGCAGGUGUUUUCAGCUCAGUGGUAACCUCAGCUCACAUGUCUUUCUCAAAGAACAGAGACAACUCUUCAGCCUCAAGCAAUACUAGAGAGUCAUCUCAAGCAACUGUUAGGAGGAAAGUUUUGGAGUUUAACCUUGAUCAUGAUCUUGAUGGUGAAUCUCAAGCAGCAUCAGCGGCACCACCGCAAUCUCCUCCACGCUUGAAAUCAACCCCAAGUGUUUACUUUUGAAUUUUCUUUGAGGAUGAUUCUAAAGUUUUCAGAGAGAUAAAAACCGAGUCUUGAUGUACAUUUUUCGCUUAGAUUUUAUACAAGAGAAAUAUUAGAGCAAGAAUUGUGGAUCUCCUUGGUCCCUUAAUUAAAUAAACUCUAUGUAGAAAUAACGCUUUGGAUUAAUCUGAUUCUAUUACUUAACAUCCGAGUUCAUGAUCCAACAGUUUUAUAUAUUUUUUUUUGGUUUUUUGGUUUUUUGGUUUGGAUAUGAAAAUGAGCCACUCCUGUAAGUGAACAAAGAAAAACGGCGCGUGCCUAAACGCGCAGAGAUGAGCGAGCGAAAUUGGAAAUCGCGUUUUAAGACGCUAUUUUUUGGCGGUUCUUUCUCGUCCCUUCGUCUAGCUUAUGUGCACUUAUUCGAUGAACAAGGUUCUUCAGUUCGGUCUCCAAAGCUCCGUUAUCAGUGUCGCCAAGUACGUUUCUGUCCAAAACUGUCAAAUAAAUGCUUCGAAUUGUCUGCUGUAUUAUCGCCUUUUUGUUCUUCUUCUGACUCGUUUCCUUACAUUCGGACAAAUCAAACCCACUGGUUGAUUUCGGAUAUUGGGGUUCUGUUUCAUUUAGCUGAUAUAUGAAUCCAAAGCCUUGACCUUUAUUCAUUUUAUUUUUUACUUUUUUUUCCAAAAUUCUAAAUUUCGUGACUGAUGAUGAUUCUAGGUUUCUGGCGGUGCCUCUUAGGAGCUUAAGAAUUGGAACAACAAUUUUCAACAAGAGACUUAUGUCAAAUGCUACGGCUAAAUCCGUACCUUUCUCAAUCAACAACAGCAAGGGAAAGGAACUCAAGAUAGUAGGGGCAGCUACUGAUCAGAAUUGUCAUCAAAUGGUUGGUGCUAAGGUUGUGAUUGUUCGUUCUGGUUCCUAAGGAGUCUUAGUUAUUUUGUUUAAUUGUUGGUUUUGAUGUAUAGGGAAGUGAUAGUGAUAGAGAUGAAAUGAGAAUUGUUCACGAUGAUCAAAAGGAAAUCGAGACAAUGACUGUUCAAGAACUUAGAGCUACAUUGAGGCAAGCCUAUGCUCCUUUUAAUCUUCCCUUCUUGCUGCUUUGUCAGUGUUUCUGUGGACAUCCAAAUUCCUGACUUUUGUUUGAACUUGUGGAACAUUUGUGUAUUCGCGGUUUUGAAUAUAGGAAACUUGAGCUACCUGUGAAAGGACGCAAGCAAGAACUUAUCUCAGUGUUACGACUUCAUAUGGGGAAAAAGUUACCAGGUAUGUCACUGCACACCAAAAACACACCCUCGAUUUGGAAUGGAAUGGAAAAACGAAUGUGGAAUGGAAAAACGAAUGUGGACUUGUUUGCAAUUGCUAUAGCUUCUGAUUUCUUGGUGAAGGCAGUAAAGAACUUUGGUUCGGACCUGUGUCUAUUCUACAUUUUUUCUUUAGUAAAGACCAAUUCAUUGCGUGUUUAUCUGUUACAGAUGAAAGUUCUGGUGUAGACAAAAAGGAAACUACUUCGUCCACCCGUUCAGGAAGUGUCACUACCAAAAGAAAAAUCAGAAAUAAGGAAGAGUCUACUGAAGAUGACUGCAUUAGCUCUGAAGUUUAUGGGAAUGACCAUGGAGAGAGAAGAGUAAAACAGACUACUGAGAAAAACUUGAAAGCUAAAGUUUCCUCAAAAGCUAUCUCAAACGAACGGAAGUCAAUGACGAAAACAGGUUUGUCAUGUGUUAAACAAAGCGAACACUGUGUACUAUAUACUGGCAUCUCAAUAGAAUAUUAUGAAUUUAUUUGUGUUUGCUUAAUCCUACUAGGUAAGCAGACAUCUCGGUUAAAAGAGGAAGAAGCAUCAUUGACCUUUUCUAGCGAAGUCAUUAAAACGGAAGAAAUCGUCUCAUCCUCAAAUCAAACUGAACCAUGGACGGUACUUGUCCAUAAGAACCCUGAGAAAGACUGGAAACCUUAUAACCCAAAGACAAUGAGACCUCCACCUCUACCAAAGGGUACCAAGUCUGUGAAGGUUAUGACUUGGAAUGUUAAUGGAUUGAGAGCAUUGUUGAAGUUAGAGAGCUUCUCUGCUCUGCAGCUUGCCCAAAGAGAAGACUUUGAUGUGUUGUGCUUGCAGGAGACUAAAAUCCAGGUCAUUACAGAACAUUAGCCCGUCUUAAGUAUUUUCUGCUCUAUAUUUGAAUGAAAGCCAGAUCUUAAAACUGUUUACUGAAUACAUUUAUUACACUUAUUGGCAGGUGAAGGAUGUUGAGGAAAUUAAGAAAACUCUUAUUGAGGGCUAUGAUCAUAGUUUCUGGUCCUGCAGCGUCUCAAAACUUGGUUACUCUGGAACUGCGAUCAUUUCACGGGUAACACGAGAAUGUGCUUAUUUGUUAUUUCAUAUCCAUUCCAUCUUAUAUGUGAAAUUGAAAAGUGAAUGAUCUAAUCAAGUUGGUCUUUUUGUGACAGAUAAAACCGCUCUCGGUUAGAUAUGGUACUGGCCUAUCCGGAUCAGAUCAUGACAUGGAAGGACGCAUUGUGACUGCUGAAUUCGACUCAUUCUACUUGAUAAGCACCUAUGUCCCUAAUUCCGGAGAUGGCUUAAAAAGACUGGUACUCCUCAAAUUUUACGGCAUCUAGUUUCUACAGCUGACAUAUUCUAUAUUUCUUUAGUUUAACAAAAUGUUUCGGUUUUCAAGUCAUACAGGAUUGAAGAAUGGGAUCGAACCCUCAGCGAUUACAUCAAAGUAUGAAAUUUUUCUUCUUUGUUUCUUUAUUUAUUGUAUAUGUUCUUCUUACACAGACCUCAAUGGCUUUGUUGCAUUUGCAGGAGCUGGAGAAGUCUAAACCAGUGGUCUUGACUGGUGAUCUAAAUUGUGCUCAUGAAGAAAUCGACAUCCACAAUCCCGCGGUAACUAAAAUCAGAUUCUUCUUUUUAUGUUCAUUCCAUUAGUUGAAAACAAUAAUCACCUCUUGGUUUGUUUCGUUCUUGUUUCACCUAAUCGUGUAAUUAGGGGAACAAAAGAAGUGCUGGUUUCACAAUAGAAGAAAGACAAUCCUUUGGAGCAAACUUCUUAGACAAGGGCUUGGUGGAUACCUUUAGAAAGCAACAUCCUGGUGUUGUAGGUUACACUUAUUGGGGUUAUCGCCAUGGUGCCCGUAAAACCAACAGAGGUAAUUAAGUAUGCAUAAAAAAAAUGUUGGUAGUUGUUUGAUACAUAUUCAGAUUCAUAUUUUGGAUAGUUAAACUGGUGAAUUGGUGUGUGAAACAGGAUGGAGACUGGACUACUUCUUGGUAUCUGAAUCGAUCGCAGCCAAUGUCCAUGAUUCUUACAUUCUCCCUGAUAUCAACGGCAGUGAUCAUUGCCCCAUUGGCCUUAUUCUCAAGCUCUGACUUAUUCAAAGCUUCACAGUUCCUCCUAGUUUUUGUUGGUGUUUUGACUAAAGUUCUAAAUGGCUUUCAGCGAUAGAUUCACAAGUUUUUGCUUCUACAGAGAGCCGUGCUUAUGUGAACUAUAUGAAUUAUAUAUCUCUAUUUGUAAUGAUACCCCCAAACAGAACAGUAAGUUCCUAGUCUUGGCCAAUCUAUGCUUAUGAUUUAGUUUCAUUGCGCCUCUUGGUUUACUAAUUCACUUGCAAAUAACUGAAUAUAAUAGUUUUAGUCAAAUACUUGUUAGAUAAAAAAAGAAAAAUGUGAAUAUUAGUAUUGUCUUGUUGCAUAUAUAUAUAUAUAUUUUUUGACAAAAGGAUCUCAACAAAUUGCAAAUUUGCAUGCUAUUUUUUAUUUUGUUAAAGAAAAUGAUCACAUCAUCACGGCAUUAACAAUUUCACAUUGUACAUGUUUUUCUCUCACAAAUACAAAACAACACAAUACUAGUGUAACACAUCAUUCACAGAUAAUCAACUCUCUUUGUUUAUAUAAUAAAAUCUUACAUAGCAGCUGCGAGGGCGGAGGCAAUGAUGGGUUGAUGAUCAGAAGACUUGUCAAAGCCAAUGCCAUUGCAGACGUUAAAGCCAUACCAAACGGAGUUAGGCAAGAAGAGGUUAUAGUAGAAAGUGACUGAUCUGAUGGAUGAGCCGUAGAUCUUCACGUUCUCCGGUUUCCAGCCGUCGGAUCCUUGCCUGAGGAGGUAUUGAUAACACACGUCGCGCAUACACGGUCCCGUUAUCUUGUAUGUGUCUGAAGAACACUUUUCAAAUGUCCUCGACUUUGGAUCGUCUAGUCUCUUCACGUAUACCUUGAUCACCAAAUAAAUAAAUAAAAGGAUUAACAAAAAUAAAAAGAUAAAUAUACACACACGUAUAUAUAUAUAUAUUCACUGCUUUUUCCCUAAUUUUAUUACACAAAUUAAGGAUCGAGAGAAUAUAACCACAUAUGUGACGACAUUUCAAGAAUAAAACCUUUUAAGUAUGCAUCAUUGUAAUUACUAAAAACGCAUGUUAAUGGUUAAUACUACUAUACUUUUUGCUUUAUGGGUCGGGGGGAAAAAACAAUAAACAAGAAAGAAGAAAGAAACUAUGUAUGUUAGUUGACAAAGAAAAUCGCAUUUUUAGAUCUGAAUUUUCACAAAUUUUCCCUUUAUCUCGAUUAGGAAUCAUAAAAAUCGACUGACUAAGCUGGGAUUGGUUAAACCUAGGCCAAGUUCGUUGGAUCAUAAAAUCCAGACGCUAUCCGGCAGAACCAAAAAAAACUUCAAUAAUUCUGAAAGCAUUGUCAAGGAGAAAUAAAAGGGGAAAAAAUUCUAACUCAAAUUCUAAACUUAAUUGAUUACGGAAUCAUUUUCCAUUGAAGCAAAAAUCGAUUUAUGGAUAUUUUGUAGAUGUAAAACCAAGAAAUGAAUAAAAAUAUACACACCUCGUUGCCAUACACAUCACCAAACGCAAUACUGAUCUUAUCUCUUGUGUAAGACACCGAGGAACAGCUUGUCUUAAUGAUCACCGUGUAAGAACACACACCCGCAUUCUGAAAUUUUCAGCCCAAAAUAUAUAUUAAAAACAAAAAGAAAUCAAUAAGAUGUAUCCGUAAUUCUUGGGAUAGUGAAUCGAGAUUGACAUUACCUCUAGCUUGGGUUUAGGGAGAAAUGAAUCAAUCGGCCGAGGUUUUGAUUGAAAGAAUGAUCUCGCAGAGGAAGACGAUGUGAAAGAGCAUAAUGCAAAGAGGAACAAAGAAAUCGCUAAUCUAAGCAUUUUCAGUUUUAAUCUGUCGUUGAAAAGAUGUGGAGAUGAACAAGGUCAGAUCUUAGCAUGUUGUUUGGUGGACCAAGCCAAUUAUCUAUAGAAUAUAGUCUAUAGACCGACACGAAAAUCACGUUCAUACUAAUAAAUGGGAGAAGUUGAUAUGUUUUGUUUUUUUCUGUCAGAAUUCUAUAGGUGUUUCUGUUGCCAACUAUUAUUUCACUGUCUUUUAAUGUUUUUUUUAUCUUUAUGCUUACUUUUGCUCAAUCACUACAAAUAGAAAAAUACAUUAAUAUAGGGAUUCUUGUAAAAUAACCUUGUAUCUCAAUAAGAAAAUGUAAACUAUUUUUCUAAACUGAAAUUUCAUUCCUUAUCUACAGAUUUUUAACCAAUCAAUUUUUUCCUAUAUUAUUUUCUAUUGAGAAACUAAUUUUUAAUAUCUUCAUCACAAUAUAAUAUCUCGAACUUGGGACGUUACAUAAGCCAACAAGGGACUCCUUGAACCACAAGAGGCAAGAGCUAAUACAUAUAAAUUUUUUUUGCCCUCAAAACGAAUUUAAUUCACCUUGGAACAAACUUUCCUAACCUCACCAUUGACGUCUGUCUUUACAUCAAUGGAACUCAUCUUAACCAUAGCUUUACCAAACUCAUUAUCAAACCUAAACCCUAACAAACCCCUAAUAGUACUCGCAUACUUCUUCACCACGUCUUUUGUCUCGGCGUCCGACCAAAGCCGUUGGUCCGACUCCAAAAUGGCGUUACCAUCUCGUAGGUUCUUGAAGAAGCUAACAUCAAAUUUCGAGGGACUGCCAAUGUCAAGAGCAACACGUUUUGAACCGUCUCCAUUGGGAGGACAAAGAGUCUUGAGCUGCGUAAGAAACGAUGGGCUUAUGGUUGGGUCGGAGUUUCCGGUCACCGUGAAGUUGUAUAGACGGUAACGGAAGAAUUGACAGUCCGUUUGUCCUAUUGUAUGUGCACCUGCAUAUAUAAUGUGUUAUUAUUUUGGAGAGAAAAGAUAAAUGGCACAUGCAUGUUCAUUAGAGACAAGAGAAGCAGGUGUAAAUUUUAGAAAGAAAAAAAAUAUGAAGAAGAAGAUCAAGAUGGGCUAAUAGCAAGUGUCUCAGUUUACUUUUAUUUCUAAACUUCAGCAGCUACUACGUACCAGCGUUUUUUGAAGUAAAAAUUUCAACCAGAUAAUUAAUCAUUUUAGAUAUUUCAAAACAUUCAUUUUUAUGUUCUUUUCAACUAAAAAAAAUACAAUUACUGAAUAAAAAGCUAACUUUUUAAAACAAAGCAUCUAUAGUUGCGGAUCAUUAGGACUUUAUGACGUACCCUCGUCAGGAUCAAAUACGAUCGAUCUAACAUACGUCAAAGAAAAGAUGACUUUAAUCUUCCGAGUUAAUAAUUUUCUUGAUCGAUUUUGUGAAAGACGGUGGCUAAGGUGUUUUUCAAUUUCAAAUCUUCCUCCUCAAAUCAACGAUUAAUUGUGUAAUGAUCCUUUGCUUAAAAUCCAAGAAAAAAGUAUAAAAUGAAACAAGGCAUACUACAACUUUUAGGCACUUAAACUUUUUUCCAUGUUGGCGUUUUUUGUGCAUAAAUUUGUUUUCAAAUUUCGAACUUUAUGUUUCUUUUAAACAUAUAUCUGUAUAUAGUAGGAUUUAGCAUAACAGGCUAUUAACAGCUAUGAACUACUUACUCAUGAAUCAUAUUUUUCAAUGUAGUGGUUUAACUAAUGGAUAGCGCGUUCUGCAUCCGGAUUUAGUUAAAGUCCUAAUGAUCCGCAACUAUGGAUAAAAAUACCGAUGAACAAAACAAUUACUCAUAAAAAUAUAAAAAGUUAAAUGAUCGAAAAAUGAAAAUAUGAUUCUUAAACGAAAAAUUAGAUAGACUCUUCUCUUGCGGGAAAUUAGUAGAAUAUAAAUUAUGGAUGUCAAAGCAAGAAGUUAGAUUUUCUAAAAAGAAAGAAAAAAGACAGAGAGAUGAAAAACAAACCGAGUAGAGUGACGAGAUCAUGAGUAUCCAAUCCUUUGUUUUGAAACUUUUGCUUUUGAACAGCAACAGAGUCAAGUGGCGAAGGUAGAUUCGAUGCCUCCGACGCUAACGAGAUUCUCCCGUCUUUACGACCCGUUGGAACUCGCCAGCUUGGCCCUGAACUCUGUUUUCCAUACGUAAUUAAUAAAUAAUCUUCCAAAGAAUUUAAGUAAACCCUAAUUAGGUUUAGUAAACUUGCGUACCAAGUCAACAGCGUCACGAGCAGCAAGUGCAAGUAUAUCUGCACAUGACACCACUCCUGGACACUCUGACUCUAGCCGGGCUUUCGCAUCAUCUAUCACCUCAAAACCUCUAAGACCGCCAUUAGCGAGAGCUGCUUGCUCGGCAGAUUUCCCUUUGAUUAAGACCGAUCCAUCACAACCCUAAUAAUAGGUCAAAUUCAACAUUCAGUUAACUUGUAUAAUUGCUUAGAGAAGAAUGAGAUUAAAGAAGAUUUGGAACCUGAACAAAACAGUCAUGGAAAUGAAGCCUAAGCAGGCCAGGAGAAAUAGUGGGAUCAGAAUCAAAGUGAGAUUCAACGGUGGAUCUUACUAUUGACUCAGCUUUGGGACAUGAAGUUGAAUAAUAACCAUUACUUAACGACUGACUUAUCACUUCUUUUCCCAACACCAAUACUAUUAUAAUUACAUAACAGUAGUUGCCUAAGUACACUCCCAUUUUUCUAACUCUUGUUUUUUUUUGUGUGUGUUAUCACUUAUCAGUUUACAUAUAAUCAUGAAGUUCAAGAACCAACUGAGAUUUAUAUAUAGUCACACACAUACAUAAGCCUUUGUCUCAAUGGAACCGUGUGGGGACAGAUAGUGCCUACUUUUUCAUUUUGUUUUAAGUUUAUUUUAUAUAUAUUUGUUGGUAUAUACACUUGGUAGCCACUAUGGGAAAUCAUGGGGUUUGAUUAUAUUAGUUUUCAUAUACUUUUAUUUCUAAACUUAUCAUGUCUACGAGUUUUGUGCUAACGUACGUUUCAAAAUCAGCUUUUUCUUUUUAUUUAUAGACGUCCUUUCAGAAUAUUUAUGAUUCGUUUGCUUUACCUAAAGUUUCUUGGAUCACUCCUAAAACAUUAGCAAUCCAUGAAAUAUACAAACGUGUUCACAACUAAACUCUGAAAUAAGUCGUCACUAUUUUUUCCCGUUCACAUCUCCCCUUCUUUUGCAGUUUUAUCUUGAUCCUAAUCUUUGUGAAUUUUUUUUUUUUGUUGCUACAAAAAAAGAAUCGAAAAUCCGAGAUCGAUCUAAUGUAAAAGAACGACGAAAUACUCUGGAUACCGAAAGUGAAAAGCAUAAAAUCAUAACCAUCGCUUCUAAAAACUCAUUUUGUUUACUAUUAUACAUACCUCCAUGAUUUACAUAAAGUGCAUGCGUUAUUACUUGAUUGAAUUGUGUCCAUAGUGUUAUUUUUUUUUUUUUCAAUUCAGAAGACAUUCAUUUGAUGGUGUUAACGUCCGUUAAAUAUUUUUAGUUUCUUUUUGGUUGUCGUAAAUAUGUAAAUAUGGAAGACCAUGCAUGUAAGAUUUUUGUUUGUUUGCCACAAACAUGUAAAAUUAAUAUUAAAAACUUGCUUAUUAGAGCAUAGUUCUAGAUUGUGGACUAGAUUAUACUCUUUGAUCAACAUUUUUAUUUUUAUUUUGGAUAAAAUCUUUGAUCAAGAUGAUUUAGGUUGGACUUAUCACUUAGAUUAGGUCGUGCAACCCAAUUCAAUAUAGUAGAGAAAACUCAAAGCACAAUUCAUCAAGCAGAGUAAAUUUAUACUUCCACAACAAACUUCAAACAUAUUUUUAGCUACGGAAAUAGAGAAUCAUUUGAUUUUUUUAAGCAAGUCCGACAAAGAUUUUUUUAUUUGAUUUUUAAGGUUGAUUUUAUGUGUAUGUAAUUAACCUAUAUCUAACAAAAAUUUUGAGUUGACUGAUUCAUAUAAUUUUAAAAACUUAAAAAUCCUAUUGGGAUGACACGGUGUCGUCUUGCUGCGAAGUGGCAAAGCUCUAUUGGUCUCUGUGACGCCUAAAGAGACUUUGCUCUCGAUAAACCGGUUUGGAAGCUGAAUCCAGAGGCGGGGAAUCGAAAUUCAAGCGAACGGAUCCGCCAUGGCAGCUCGUAAGAGAGCUUCUUCGACGUCAGCUUCGAAUAAACCGGAUGAAUCAGCUCCAAAUUCAGCGCCAUCGGAGCAGAAGAUGACCCGGAAUGCUUCCGGUGAGGAAUUCCGUCUCGCGCCGCCGAAACUAGGAGUGAUCUUCGUGAUCUCUACUCUUCUUUGCUCGCUUUAUCUCUACCUUCUCUGUUUUCACUACAAGGUUGAAAACGAGCUCAGGCGCUCGAUUCUCAUCAACGCUGGGCUUAGCUUGAUUGGGUUCUUUGUCACACUCAAGAUGAUUCCUGUCGCUGCCAGAUACGUUCUGAGACGUAACAUGUUUGGUUUUGAUAUCAACAAAAGGGGAACGCCUCAAGGAGAAAUUAAAGUGUAAGUUUUGAUCCAUCGGUGUGAUCAGCUUACAACUAUGAUCGAAAUUUGCUUCAUUUCCUCUUGUUCGCUUUCAGGCCUGAAUCGUUGGGUAUCGUUGUUGGUAUUGUCUUCUUGAUCGUGGCGAUCAUAUUUCAGUAUUUCAAUUUCACUGAAGAUUCGAAUGUAAGUCUUCUCAGAUCGAUCAUGCCACUAAUUAACACCUGGAUCCUCAAUUUGGGUAAUGAUUCUUUGUGCAGUGGCUUGUGGAGUAUAAUGCAGCACUGGCAUCUAUUUGCUUCAUGAUUUUGCUUGGAUUUGUAGAUGAUGUCCUUGAUGUGCCUUGGAGAGUGUAAGUUUAAAUUUUUAUCUUUUGAUUCUGAUGAAAUUCAUAAACGAUUGUUGUUUACAUCUUCUCGCUUGUUAAUUUUUUUAUAAGAAACAGGAAACUUGUCCUGCCAUCUUUCGCUACUCUUCCACUGUUGAUGGCUUAUGCUGGUCAUACAACUAUUGUCAUACCGAAACCUCUAGUUGCUUAUGUUGGCCUGGAAGUGCUUGAUCUAGGUACUGAUUCUUGUACAUGUUUACCAUGUUGACUUCCAUAACUGUAUUUUUGGGGAAUGUUCAUGGUUAGUUCAAUGGAUGUUUCAAUGUUGCAGGACGGAUAUAUAAGUUAUAUAUGGGGUUACUUGCCGUCUUCUGCACAAACUCUAUAAACAUUCACGCUGGUUUGAAUGGCCUUGAAAUUGGUCAAACAGUUGUUACCACCGCUGCUGUAAGUCACUGGUCAUACAUAAUGUUUUAGGCUUCUUCUCUAUCUGUUUUUUUUUUUUUUUUGGGUUGAGAUAUGAUGCAUCCCAGUUACUUGUAGAUCCUGAUACACAACAUUAUGCAAAUCGGAUCAUCUACUGAUCCCGAGUAUCACCAAGCUCACGCCUUUUCGAUAUUUCUUACUCAACCACUGAUGGCAACAUCCUUACCAUUGCUUGCUUACAAUUGGUAAAAUCUUUCACAACUUUUUCACUUUUAAAAAA